AAAAUGUUUUGCAAGAGAUUCCAGAUGCUACAACUAGUUCUCAUUAAAUUGGAGGAUACAAAAUCAAAUUCCCAAUACAAAUACAUUUUUAAUCUGGAACUAACAGAGGUUACAACAGAGAACAAUCCCUGGUUUCUCAAAUUGGAAUUCAUGCCCUUUUUAUGUCAUCGUUACAAACUAGACUUCUUUUUUUUCUAAUAAGAACACACACUAUAAAGGAAAAAUAGAAAUUUCUUUUGCCAUCCUUGGUGGAGCACAUAACGGCAGGUGCAACAAGUUCAGAGUGUGCAAGUAGAAAGGAAGAGGUUCGGAGAAAAAGACUGACACUUGGUCAUGCUGCGGAGGCGUCCUAUAGUCCAUACUUGUCUGGAGCAGCAGUAAUGAGGACACAACUAGAGAUGGCCAACGGAAAUUUUGCAAAUAACACUCCUCGCCACAUCACAUAAUUUGAUCUCCUCCAGUACCUGCUACUACUACUCCUCCUUGUUGGAUUUGGGCACGGCCAACCUGACGACCAACAACAACAGUAGCACAGGUGGGUCUAAUUUUCUAUUAACAACCACUGUCAUACACUGACCAUUGGAGGACAAGUCGUGGCUGUGCACGAGAGAUGCAGAGGGACAAGGGGAGCGUGGAGUGGAUGAGGUAGGAGGGGCUGAGAACAGCAUCAUCGACAGCGGGGCUGACUAAGACGACCUGCGGAGGCGUCGGACGGCGGAGAGACGAGGCUGGAAGCUCGAACGGCGCGCGAUGACCAGCUCAGAGGCGGUGCAUGGGAGAAGGCAGGCUGCGGGGGUGGCGCACGGCGCCCGGUGCACAAGUGACCCGAGAAAGGAGGCGGGAUACAGGGUUGACCCACGGUGAGGUGGGAGGAGCUGGAAGUCCAGAUCAGGGUCUCGGCGUGGUUCGCCAUGGGGAUCCAUGGUGAUGUAUGGCGACUCGCUUGGGGGAGGGAGGUUGGAGCGCCGGCAUCAUCUAGGAGAGGCGAGUGGUGGAAUGAGGAGGGCGCGAGCUCGGGAACGGCGGCGGCGGGCGAGCUCAAGAACGGCUACGGUGGCGCACUAGCUCAGGAACGGCGGCGCGCGCGAGCACAGGUGCCGGCAACGCGUGGAGGUGUGUGGAUCCUGGUGGCGGCGUUGGUGAGAAGUUGGCGGUGUGGGGAGGUGGGUCGCGGCGGCGGUGGUGCGCAGGCGGCAGCGCAGGGAUGUGGCGGCGCGGCGCACGGGGCUGCUUGGGCGCAGCGGCGAGGAUCUGGGAGGUCGCCGCGGCAGUGGCGGAUCUGGGGAGAUAAGACGAGGCGUUUUUUUGUUUUGGGAAGUUCGGGAGGGCCCUGUCGGGCCUACAUAGUGCGUUGUGAUCCGAAUAGUUAUUCUAAUCCCAGGAUUAGAAUAGUGUUACUAUAUAUAUAUAUAUAUAUAUAUAUAUAUAUAUAUAUAUAUAUUCCUACCCAAGUUAAAGGGACCAAAAAGAGUCUGUUGUAAAAGCACAACUCAAACAUAGGUACCCCUUGGGCACAACCACAAUAUCACUUGGGGGCUUGGUCAUAUUCGAACCGUAGCUUAAACCCUCUUAGUAGGCGUAAGGCCACCAGGAAAAUCACUUGGGGGCUUGGUCGUAUUCGAACCAUAGCUUAAACCCUCUUGAUAGGCGUAAGGCCACCGGGGAAAUCACUUGGGGGCUUGGUCGUAUUCGAACCAUACCUUAAACCCUUUUGAUAGGCAUAAGGCCACCAGGGAAAUCACUUGGGGGCUUGGACAUAUUCGAACCACAGCUUAUACCCUCUUGGUAGGCGUAAGGCCACUAGGAUGAUCACUUGGGGGCUUUGGUCUAUCCGUACCAUAGCUUAAACUCUCUUGAUCGGCACAAUGCCACAAUUAUGCCAAUUCAAAACCUCUUGAUUUUUUAGGUUUAUUUAAUUCCACUUAUCAUACUUUAUGGUUCUAAUGCACUGAUGUUCAUUAAACCGGCUUGGUUUUGACUAUAAGUCGUCAGUAUGCUAUCCGGUGUUUUUAACAACACCCGGUCCAACUUUAUCUGUAAACCGGUAACAUCUGAUACUUAUCAAGGUUCCAGUUGUGGGUUCUAACCCUCAUUACACUAGUUUGGGGUGAUCAACCAUCAUAGGUAUGAUAUCUUUUAAUGAUUAUUAUUUCCACCAGCUUUGAUUAUAAAUCAUGAUAAAUUCAUGUUGGGGCAGUAUAACCCAUCCUGCGGUAAACCGCCAGGACAUUUUUUCUCUGUUGUAUGAAGGAACAACUUUAGGAUGAAUAAUAUCAUCAGGCAUACAUGGCGUGUCUUCACAUAACGGAUAAAGAAGUAUCAUAGAAACAACCAAAUAUGCACGAGGGAAUAUUAAAGCAAAAAGUUUGAAGCUAGCCCAUUACAAGGCAUUUUGAGCCCAAAAGAUAAUGGUUUUUAAGUCUCAAAUAGCAGCUGAUAAACCGACCCCGGCUCAUGAAUCCUAACCCGGCUGACUAGAUGGUUGCACCUCACCCCUUGCCGGUUCGUCUUCCUCCACCGUCUGGAAAUUGGGUUUGGACCAGUCAAAGCCAUGAAGGGCGACAAAUUCAGACUCAUCAUCAAUCAGACCAGACGGGUCAAUCUCAGGGGCGAAAGUGUGCUUACGAAUCGGCGGGAUUAAGUCCAUCACUUUAUAGGAAGGAGUCGCCAUCUUCUUAUUGUCUGCAUCAAAACCCGGCCGAUACUUAGUGAGGUUGGUUUCUUAACCGAUAAUGGUAGCACGAGGACGCGUUUCCUUGACACAAGCAGCAAAAUCUUCUUGGUUGAAAGGUGUUCCAUCUUCUUUAAAGCUGGGGGUAUCCUUUAGCCACGUCUGCCGGGUCUAAUUCUGGCACCCAGGCUUUAGCAGAGCUUAAAGUUGUUACAACUCCAGCUCUCGCGCAUGAUCGCUUGAUUUCUUGGAACCGGCCGGGCAAGAUAGACAGCUUCUUCAAGAUGUCACUUAAUAGAGUCGGCCACUGAUUCACGGGGGAGAUAGGGGCAAGCGUCCGUUGAGCUCCGGUGUACAACUGUUCAACUAGCGUGUAAACCGCCUUCAGCUUUACCAUGGUAUCCCUGUUCAGAUUGCUGCUCUUGGGACCUAAAAAUAUCAUACAAUGAGUUAAGUGGCGGCUUAUAAUGGAAUAUAUUUAUUUGAAGUAUGUAACAAAGUGACUUACCGAAGAUUGCAGAAACCAUUUGAGACACACAGUUCUUUAAACCGGUGAGUUUAGCAGUGACUUCUCCUAGAGCCGCUUCAGCCUUCUCUGCACGAUGUGUUAAAACAAUCUUCUCAUUAGCCCAAGCUUAUUUUUCCGCUGUGAAGUUGGUCUUCAAUUUUUCGGUCUCAGAAACACUCAACUGGAAUUUGGAUUCAACCUUCUUUGUCUCUAUCUCUUGAGUCCCUAGUCGGGCCUUGGCCUCAACAGUUGGGAUUCUAGUUCUGUGGUUGCAGCCUGCAUACAGCAUAAUGUUGUUUCAGUUUCAUGGCGGAUUAUAAAAGAUAAGUCCCAAGUGUUUUGUCAACAAUAACACUUGGCACUUCGGGGCUAAUGUCUGUCAGCGCAAUUUUUUUCCAAAGGAAACAAUUUUUCUAAAAAGUCCAAGUGUUUUGCAGGCAACAACACUCGGCACUUGGGGGCUAAUGCAUAUUGCUUGACUUUUCUUUCUACAAGUGAGCCGUAUAAGCUGUCCACAGUCUCAGCCGGCUCAGGCAGGUUAUACGGUUUAGUUCAAUGCAAUAAUUAGUACGACCGGCUCAUUCAUACUGAUUAAACCGGCCCUUGGAGGCUAGUAGGCUAUAUAACUUAUAUGAGCCGGAGAACAUACCUCAUAUUUUUGAUGCAUAUGUUUGACCAUUUCAAUUUCUGAGUCAUGGCUGGAGUGCACUUGACUGAGAUAACCGGAUAGCACUUCACUAAUACUCAGGUGAGCAUAGUGGGAGACAUCCAACCUCACCUUUUGCCUCUACAUAACUUCUUGUUUGGCAGAGUGUCUUGCCAAGACAGUUGGGUUCCCCAGUUCAACGAAUCUAGUGCUAGUGAUUAAAACAUCAACAUUGUGCUUCUCCGGCGGGUUAGCUGAGCUUGACGGAUCAAUACUAGAUGGAUCAAUAGUAGUUUCAUCUGUAGACUGCUCGGGUAAAUCAGGUUGAACGUUGAAGGCAAGGUCCUCUGGCCAUUUAGCGUGUUCGGGCAGAAAUGUUGACUGCUCCAGGUCUUCAAGAUGUUCUGGUACGAGGUUUGGCUACUCCGGUUCAGUGGUUCUCGGAUCCUCAGCCGGUUUUGUUACAUUUGCUUUCUUGGGCUUUGCUUGACCGCUAGAAAGGAUUAGACAAGUCAGUACAAUGAUACAUAUUUAAAGGUGUAUAAGAAGGGUAGUUAUCUUUACCCGGGGGCGGUCUUGAAAGCCGGAAAUUGCGUCUGUGAUGAAUCGCAGGAGGAGGAACGGGAAAUCUCCUAUAAAUAUGGAAUCAAAAAGAAGUGAUGAAGGUAAUUCAUUGAAUAAAUACAAGGGUGAAAGUCAAAAAAGAACCUCAUUCUGGCGUUUCCAAGGAGUUUUUGGUAAGCCGAAGGGUAAAUCGUCGUCUCCACCGGCUGAGUCUGCCGGCGGCUUUCAUGUUGCUGUCGUUUAAAAAUAAAAUGAGGAUCUAAAUAAGCCAAGGGGUGUCAAAACCUUUCUUUCCGGGUUACCCGCCGAAGUUUCUGCCUUGGUAAAGGUUCUGAGUCGGUGGAAAUAAUAUUUACCUCUUCUUCAACUGCCUGGCUGGCCCCCGUGUCAUCCUGGUAAUAGUCAAUGUCAAUAAGGUGGUUAAAAAGCAAGCCAAGAGAGUCAAGGGCUACCUCUGACUCAGAGGUGUCAUCCAGCUUGAGUAACUCAGAGGCGGUUGGCUUCUUCUUCUUCGAUUUUCUGACGAUUUUCUUGGCGGCUAUCGUAGCAGCUCUAGCUUUCUUGGCAGCCUCAUGGUCAUACUUGACUUUCCAAAAGUUAGAUUUAGCCUGUGGAAGGGUAGCAUGUUGAAAUUCAUGCAAAUAUUUAAACUGCUGAAGGAAAAGAAGUCAAAGGAUUUACCUCUAGCGCCGGGUUAAGCUUGCAGAAAGGAUUUAACCCCACUAUGCUACAUCUUCAUACUUGCUGUUGACAAGAGUAGUUGCCAUUUCCGCAAUGGCUUCUUCCGUCAGACGCAGGGAACUAUGACGUAAUGGAUCAUCUAUUCCUCUGGUGUAGUUACACAUCAAGCCAGAUCGGCGGCUCAGAGGGAUGAUCCACCAUGCGACCCAACAGUGGAUCAAGUCAACUCUAGUUAACCCAUUUCCAAGUAAGGCUUGAACUUUUUGGAUUGUGGGGACAAGUUUCUUGCAUUCAGCGGCAAAAAGCUUAUCAGGAAGUUGAUACUUGGCGUCAAGACGUUCAACACAGUAACCCGGCAUUGGGUUUUCAUCAGACGGUGAGGAAUCCUUGCAAUAAAACCAUGUCUGAUUCUAAUCCUUAGGAUGGCUUGGCAGAACUACAAAAGGGAAGAUGGCAUCCCAUCUACGUUGAACUGAAAUCCCGCCAAGUUCUAAGCUGGGACCAUUGGUGUAUUCAUUCUGGCGGUUCAGGUAGAAAUAUUCUCUAAAAAGCUCCACCAAAGGUUCUUGAAGAUAAACCUCGCAGAAAACUUGGAAGUUGCAGAUAUUUGAUAUGGAAUUGGGUCCGAUAUCUUGCGGGUGAAGCUUGAAAAAAUGCAAAUCAUCUCUAAAUAAUUUUGAGCCGGGUGGUGAGAAGCCCCUGUUCAUGUGAUCAGUGAAAACAAUAAUUUCACCGUCCUUCGGCUGAGGUUUCACUUCAGCUGGGUCAGGAGCAUGGUAAGACAUGACACUUUUUCAGGUAAGUAUCCAACAGUGACAAAGUCUUUCAAAGUACUUUCGGUGACUGUGGAAGGGACCCAGUUGCAAGUGGUCAUCGUCUUUGGAGGCAUGAUGAAAUGACAAUCUAAAAGAAAUAAUUUGCCGGAUCAAGUUAGUUAGUGGGACUGCAAAUCAACAACUACAGAGCUUGUUUUAAGCAAGGGCUAAUGAUAUAUGAGGUACAGGUAAGCCGGGAGAGUAAGCCGCCAUGGUUAAGAUAUUCAAGAAUGACCAAAAACAAGAUUGGCUAAAUACUGAGAUAAACAAGUUCCACAUUUGGAGGUUAUAAAUUUGGAUUUACUGCCGUUCAGGAAAAGGGGAUAAAUUCAUCUAUAAAAGGCGACAAUGGAAAAAUAGAGAAGCCCUAGAGGAGAUUUUCCACGGCGGGGAUGUGAUCUAGUAUUAAAACAAGUGCUAAAACUACCACCGCGCAAGCUUUCCAUAUAUUUUGGAUCUAAUACGUGGAUCUAAAUAAAGGAAAAGGAGGAGGAGGAUGAACGCAGAUGAACACCGAAGAACACCGAUGAAACCCUAAUGGCGAGAUUAGGGAUGAACAGAGGAAGACUUACUGGGGAUGUAAGAGUAGUGGAGUUGCACCGCAGUUCUCUGGUUUUCUCAGGGCGAUGCAGCGGCCGGAGUCGAGGACGAGGACAGAGGUCGACGGCGGCAGGGCUCGUACUAGGACGGCACGCUGUGAGGAAGGAAGGAGACGGAGAAGAAUGGAAGAUGGCUUUCGGGUCCUAUUUAUAAGGAGACAGAAACAGGCAGGCACGAAAGACGAGGAUGCCAAAUGAUAGUUAUCCAGCUAAUUGGACGCCUCGAUUUUCGGGAAGACAUUAAGAUAAAGAUCUGUUAAGAUGGCGUCGGGCGGGUUUCCAAAAAUCUAGGAGAUGACGUCAUGGCGGGUUACAAGUUUUCGUAGCGGGAAUGAGAGGAUUUUUUCUAAGUAUUGAAGGUUGACAUGAACGAGUCCAAAUCAACCUGGGCCUAAUGUUGGGGAUAUGAUUAUUAGGUAUGACCCGCCCAGGAGGGGCCGGGUCAACCCUAUGAAGAUUCAUCACAAUGAAGCCCAAGGUCACAUGUCGAUUCAUAGAUAGGCUUAGUAGAGGGCCCAGACCCAAAGGUGGCUUAAAGCCCACGAGUAUGAACCGCCAUAUAUGUAAACUUGUACUGUAAGGCAUGUGUAAAAGGUCACCGAGCCGGAUACAUUGUAUAAGCCGGCCGGGACUUUGAGGGCCACAGGGCAUCUUCCUGUGUAUAUAAGGGGACGACCUAGCGGCGGCUUAGGGCAAGAAACAACAGAUCGAGAGCCAGGUCAAGCAUAUUCGCUCCUUGCUCGUCGAAACCCUAGCAAUACCAACUAAAAACUGGACUAGGCUUUUACCUUCAUCGUAAGGGGCCGAACCAGUAUAAACUCUCCGUGUCCUUUGUCCUGUUUAACCCCUUUUAAGUUAACCUCAACGCGAUGGCUCCACAACUAAGUGCUCACACUAGGACAUCUGCCGUGACUAUUCCACGACAGUCACGGAACUCGCAAGUUGAUCACCAAAACAUACAUCAAGUGGGUCAUGUGAAUAUCCCAUUGUCACCACAUAUAAGCACAUGCAAGACAUACAUCAAGUGUUCUCAAAUCCUUAAAUACUCAAUCCGAUAGGAUAACUUCAAAGGGAAAACUCAAUCCAUUACAAGAGAGUAGAGGGGGAGAAACAUCAUAAGAUCCAACUAUAAUAGCAAAGCUCGCUAUACGUCAAGAUUGUGCUAAAUCAAGAACACGAGAGAGAGAGAGAGAUCAAACACAUAGCUACUGGUACAUACCCUCAGGCUCGAGGGUGAACUACCCCCUCCUCGUCAUGGAGAGCACCGGGAUGAUGAAGAUGGCCACUGUUGAUGGAUCCCCCCGGCAGGGUGCCAGAAUGGGGUCCCAAUUGUUUUUUGGUGGCUACAGAGGCUUGCGGCGACGGAACUCCUAAUCUGGGUUAUUUUCUGGAGGUUUCAGUAUUUAUAGGAAUUUUUGGCAUCAGGAACAAGUCAGGAAGGUGCCCGAGUCGUCUACGAGAAAGGGCAGCGCGCCCGGGGGGUAGGGCGCGCCACCACCCUCAUGGACGGCCCGGGACUCUUCUGGCCCAACUCUUUUACUCUGGGGCUUCUUUUGGUCCAUACAAAAUCAUCAAAAAUUGGCACAUCAAUUGGACUCCGUUUGGUAUUCCUUUUCUGUAAGAGUUAAUUACACUUUUAAUACAUGAACUUGCAUGAUGGAUACAAAUUCAUACAUAAAGUUGAAAAAUGUCAUAAAGUAGUACAACAACUUGCGUUUGAGGUAUACUUACAUACAUUUCGGAUCCCAGGCCAUUAUCUCUCAAACCAAAGACAACACAACAUUGACCUAGAAAGGCUAGCCAGUCCACCAACCGUUACUUGUUGUUUAAUUUGUCAUAAUCUCCUUAUAUCAUCGACAUAAUUGUUCUUGUUCUUUCUCCAUAUAAUUUUUGAAACCAAACUGGCAUGCCUGUCGGUUCACAUUUCUACAGCCGUACUGCCCGUUUACUGGUUCCUCAGCUAUUUUUUAGGCACUAUAAUUUAGGAUAUAUUCUUUACUAAGAGCAUCUAUAGCCAGACCCUCCAUACCUGCCCUAGAUGCCCCGACGGGCUGCCUGAUCACUGUCUGGACCAAAAAACGCCACCCAACCAGGCUACCCGUAUUCGGCCUAAACGUCUGGACUUACCGAUACUCUCCAUAUCCCGCCAUAUACGGGGCGAAUAUGGGAGUCCCGGAAGCGCCUGAGCACGCCCGCCACGUAGGACUGACCGCUGGUGUCCGUGGCAAUUUGGUCAUAUGAGCCUCCCCUGUCCUUGCUUGAGGAACACUCUUCUCUUCUCUAUUCACCCUCCUCCGCAUUAUCGUCACCAGACUUACGCCGGCAUCGGUGCUCCGCCGCCAUCCCAACUCAGGGCUUCACGACCAGACGCCCCAACCCACACUGCCGCCGACCAGGUCGGCAUCGGACAAGGUUGCCGCCACCGGACGGCUUCCCGGUAUGUCAAACUCCCCCAUAUUUUCACCCCGCGCUCUAUGUGUUCGAUGAAAUGUCUAAGCUGAUUUUUGAUUCUUUUGGUCAUUACUUCUAUUUCACCAAUGGAUUCGGCAUGUAAAUCAAUAAACUUUGCAAAUAUCCUUGGACAACUUGGUUUUUUCCCCCGGUUUGUUAAAAAAAUACUUCUGGUUUAGUGGGCUAGUAAGCCAAACAAUUACUUGAAAGUAAAGUAUCACUUGCGUGUAGUGCAUAGUUUUUUAUUCAGAUCAAUUCUACCUCUAAAAGAUAUAUAAAAUCACUAUAUACAUCUGAACCAGUAAUAAUAUGUAGCUCACUGGUUAGUCGAUCACCGCUUGCCGCAAACUCUCGAGUUCUAGUCCUGUGGGAGCAACGCAUCUUUAUUUUUCUUCCUCUUUUCCCACUUACAGGUGGGCCCCACACUUAGAGACCACAUGGAUUUAACAUGGAGAUAUCCUAAAAAAUGUUAACUGGGAGAUAACAUCCAUGGGCGGAAAUGUAUGUAAAUGUACUUCAAACAUAAGUUGUUGGACUAAUUUGUGUCAUUUUUUAACUUUAUGUAUGAAUUUGUACGCUCCGUGCAAAUUUAUGUACUAAAAGUGUUAUUAACUCUUUCUGUAAAACUCAAAAACAAGGAAAAAAACUGACACUGGGCUCUAGGUUAAUAGGUUAGUCCCAAAAAUCAUAUAAAAUAGCAUAUAAAUGCAUAUAAAACAUCCUAGAUGGAUAAUAUAAUAGAAUGGAACAAUCAAAAAUUAUAGAUACGUUGGAGACAUAUCAGAGACGUAUCAGCAUGGUGUCACGUCAUAUAUUCAUGGUAACAACAUUGUCCAAUUUGGGCCAAGCUUUAUUACAAACCUCUUACAAAAACUGGAGCUUCUCUCAAAGAAGCCUCGUGGUUCUGAUAGGGAAAUGUGUCCCCCUUGUGGGCGAAACGUAAUAACUGCCUCUUUUCGCCUUGUAUUUUCUUCUACGGGCAACAUGGAACGACAGGAUAUUUGUGUUGAAAUUUAAACGAUAUUCGUUGCGUAUUCUCGCCUUGAACUUUGUUUUUUAUAGGCGACAUAGAAUAACAGGACUGUCGGGCUGAAAUUUGAAACUGUUCAGGGUUCGUUUGGCCAUUGUGUGUGUAUAUAUAAUAUUCUGAAUAAUAUUAUGAUCACAACCUGACCUACCCCGCUAGUAGUACGUUGAACUUCCCUGUGAACUAGGUUGAACUUCCGCCAACAUUGCCCAAAUGGGGCUUGCGAUAUACUGUUGGAAAGCUAUGGACCCCAAUAUCAUGACCCAACUUAAAUUUUUGGCAAAAUAUAAGCGGUUUAAGAGCAGCUUUGAAAACCGUUAAUUCUUCGCACAAAAAACAUGAAUCGUAUUUUCGAUCGCAUUUCUAAACCGUUUAUCGGAAUGAGGCAUAUAAUAUGGCGUUGGAAAGCUGCUGCAAAACCGCCCCUUCCACAUGUUGAAAGUUUUCUCUAAUUCCUUAUGGUUAAAGAGUAAUUUGAAAAAACGUAAAAUUUCGUAAACCGAACAGCUGAGUUCGUUUUUUCGAUGUCAUUUCUAAAUGGCUAAUCCAGUGGAGGCAUAUGAUAUGGCUUUGGAAAGCUUAUGAAAAUGCGCUACUUUUUCAUCUGGAAAGCUUUUUUCUAAUUUUGAAUGGUUUAAGAGUAAUUUAGAAAAUGGUCCAAGUCCUACCGAGUUCGUAUUUUCGAGCUAAUUUUUUAACCAUGCAUCCAAAUGCAUCAAAUGAUAUGGCGUUGGAAACCUUGAACAAAUGCGAAACUUUUUGGUAUGUAUUGUUUCUCCCAAUUCUUUACGGUUUUAAGUCAGUUUCGAAAAUGGCGAAAAACGUAUUUUUGCCGUAAUUUCUACGAACUUUACCGGAAUGGGGCAAAUAAUAUAAUGCUGAAAAGCUAGGGAAAAUGCGAAACUUUUUCAUGUUGAUGGUUUUCUCUUAUUCCUAGCCGUUUUCAAGUAAUUUCGAAAAUGGCGGGAUCUUGCGUUCUGCCUUUAUCGUGAAACAGAUUCUUCGAAAAUGCACCGUGUGAAGAACCUGAACUUCUCGGCGCGUGUACCUGAACUUCACUCUGUUUUUCACGUGAAUUUUUUGCUCGUAGGUCUCCAUCCACUUCUCGUAACUCUCCAUCCACUCACCGGAAUUGAGCAAGUGAUAUACCAGUGGAAAGCUGCUGUAAGCACAUAACUUUCCCGUGUUGAUCGUUUUUCAUACUCGUGAUGAUUUUAAAAGUUUUUCAUCUGAAAUUCAUUUGGCGUAGUAGUUGAACUUCAUACUGUUUUUACGUUGAACUUCUGUGACGUAUUUUCGUUUGUAAUUUUCUCAUCCAUUCGUCAGUGUUACACAAAUGAUAUUCUUGUUGUACAAACCUCUCUCACAAUAAUUUUUUAACUUUCUCCGACGAAGUACUUGAAAUUAUAACGAGAACAAAUUUAGCCUUUUCAUUUUUAUUCUUUUUAAUACAAAAUGCACAUCGUGUAGAACGUGAACUUCUGGUAGUUUAUCAACCUGAACUUCUCUCGGUUACGUGAAAAUAUCUAAGUUUUUUAUAAAUAUUAAUCUGAAUUUCUUAAUCCUUUUUUUGUGAAUUUUAAAGCACUCCAUUUUUAAAAGUUGAACUUCUUGUUAUUUUAUUUUUUGAACUUCUUAUUUCCAUUCUUUAAUAACGAGGAAAAUCUGAGUUUUCUAUAAUCAUCAAACUUCUCCAUAUUUUUAAUAUGGACUUCCUGGUUUUAUUUUCUUAAUUUUUUUAUGAAACUUUGAACUGCUGUAUUAUUAAAAGUUGAACUUCUUGUUUUCAUUCUUAACAAAUUUGAGUUUUUAUAUACUUCGAACUUCUCUGUUAUUUUGAAUUGAACUUCUUAGUCUUAUUCUUAGAAAAAAUAUGUUUUCAAAGAAGCAUCAAACAUUUUUUUAAAUCGAACCUCACACAUUUAUUGUUCCUAGGGAUGGAAAGAAUUUGAGUUUCCUGUAAACAUAAAACUACUCCUUUUAUUUUAAUUUGAACUUCUCUAUUUUUAUAUUUUUGAACUUCUGACAAAGAGAUUGUUCCUAGUGACAAAGAGAAAGCUGUUUUUUAUAAAUAUUGAACUUCUCUAUUUUUAUAUUUUGGACUUCAUGGUUUAUUUGAAAUACUUUCUUUUUCCAUUUGAACAUCUAAAUACACGGUGAACCUCUUUCAAAAGAAUUUUUGAACUUUCCCGGACCGAGCACUUGAACUUCUACCAACAAAACUUUUAGACUUUGCCCUUUUAUUGUAUUUUUCUAAUACGAAACACACACCAUGUAGUACGUGAACUUCUGACAGUUAUCGCUUUGGAUUUCUCUUUUGUUUCUCGUUAGUAAUUGAAAAAAUCUGAGUUUUUAUAGACAUCGAUCCGCUCUAACUUUUUAGAAAACAAAAUUAUAGUUUUUUCCGCUUUCUACGAUUUAAUUUUUUGUCUCGCGACAUUUUUAGGCAUUUUUUUGUUGUCAGUGAAAUGGCCUAGACGAACCUUUUUUUCAUUGAUGAUUUCCUUCAGUAUAUGGUACACGUGAACUUGUGAAUUUCUAAAACAUGAACUUCACAUUUAUAUCUAAAACAUAAUGGUUUAGCUUUUUAGAAAUAUACUUCGGGGCGUAUAUAAUCGUCAGUGUUGAAUUAUUUUGAAUACAAGCUCAAAUUAUUUUAAACUUCUUGGUUGUCCUUUUAGAAAGACGAAUAACUAUUUUGAACUCCGUCGCUCGUUAUUUAAGUUUAACCUUUCAGAAUUAUUUUAUUUAGUAAUGGUGAAACUCUUUUUUGAUAAACUUUUUUGAACUUCUCUAUUUUCAUUUUAACCUUCUUGGUUUUGUAAUACAUAUUGAACUUCUUCGUUUUUAAAAUUUGAACUUCUAGUUUUUAUUAUAAAUAGAUUCAACAUAUUACUUUUAUUCCUUUUUUUGGAUAAGAGAAACAAAAACUGUAUUGUACAGUGAGAAGUUCAUUUUUUUGCAGUGUGAAAAGUUGCAUUUUGUUGUGAAUUUGUUGUUGUUUUAUUUCUAUAUUUUUUUACAAAAUGAACAAUGCAUGUUUCGCUGGGAGAAAUGCACAAACAUUGACUGUAUAAGGGAAAUUACUACAUGCUUAUGCAGGUGCAGAAAUAUGAAUUAUUUAGAGAAGGGAGAAACUCUGAAUUUGUAGCUCGAUAGAACCUAAACUUCUGCUUUCUUUGUGAUUUGGGAGUCUGGGUAAGUUAAUAUCAUUAAGGAGCAGCAACGGAAUAGUAUAUGUUUGUGUACAGAUCCAAGAGCAUAGCUUUCACAAAACUUGUAUGAAGAUUAUCUCCAAAGAAGCAGGGACCAGGGGACUAGUCGGUCGUAGGAGAUGCAUCAAUUGCAGAGUUGAAGCACGUAAAUGGAAAAAAUCUAAGAAGUCCAAGUAUUGUUACAACGAGAGCACUACCCGAUGCAGUUGGAAUGGCUGCACACGCACGACGAUCUGGCCCCGAUCCAAAGGGAGUGGCCUUGGAAGAGGAGGCACACAACAGUGCGUACCAGAUCUCUCCAAUCCACAUGGGCCACGAGGAUGAAUGAUGAGCUGACCACACAAAAGUAAAACUGAAAAAAAGUGUCCAUGGAUCCGGUACAUACAAUCUCCUAUGAGCUUUGAAUCUGAAGCAGGUCGGCAGGGUUACUGACCGCUGCGAGUGAGAGAGACCAUGGAUGGAUCCUCCAAAAGAGAAGAAUCCUGCAAAGCUCACCAUUUUGUUUACUGUCAGCCGCUAGUAGAUCCUGUCGGUGAGGCGACGAGGUCUCACCGGCGCUAAUUAAUCUUGAAAACCAUGCGGGUGAUCUUAAGUCUGCAUGAGUAUAUAAUUAGCGCCAGUGGGGAGACAAAAGUUCAAGUACGCGUAAGCUAGCUUUGCUCCCCGCAGGGUGAACGCAUGGGGGAUAACGCGGAGGUGAACGGAGGCCCGACAUGUGGCCUUGGACAGCCGAAUCAGAUAGAUACAAGGGCGGCGCUGGCGGGAGGUCCAUCCAACCACCACACGUAGGUGGCCUUGGACUGAGGUGAAGCAUCAAUGACGGAUCCGGCCCCAGCUCUGGCCGGUGAACUUCGUGCCGCGGCCCAAUCGACCUGCAGGAGCAUGGUGGGGAGACGUGCAUGGGAUCUCUCCCCGAUGGUGAUCCAGGGCGGUGCCGGCGCAGGUGGUCAGCGGCGGAUGGUUGGCCGGGCCUCGCUCAUCGGAAUUUCGGAGAUGGCACUGGAUCCAAGAGGAAGGGCAGGAAGCGGCAGGAAGCGGGGUAGAGAGGAGGUGCUGGGGUGGGCGUCGACGGUGGGAGGCACGCCGGAGCCGGAUGGGCGGUGGCCGAAGGUGGGCGGGCGGUUUGGUAGGGAGGAUUCGGGAGGCGACGCGGGAGGUGGGCGACGGGGGAUGGGGGAUGGGCGUUCUUUUUUUUCUUCGUUUGAAUGCUCCGAUCUCAGGAACACCUCAUCGCCCCUAUAUAUAGAGCGUUGUGAUCCAAAUAACUAUAUUACUAAUUACUUAGUUUUCUAUGCAUUUAAUGUAGUCCAUAAUUCAAAUUUGAACUACAACCACAUGCUCCAGUGAAGCAAAAUGGGUGGGAAAUCGUACAUGUGUCAUUGGGUGCAUGUUUAGGUCUCGUUUAAGGAAUGAGAAUGAAUUACAAACUUGUCGUCAUCCUGAAACAUUGAGAAUCUCAGUUUUUAAAUCCCAGUAAAUCAAAAAGUCACCCAAAAAACAAGAAACUUGGCAUGGUUUCAUGACAUGGCACAUAUAUGCCAUGGUGAAAAAUCAUCCAGUUUGAGAAGAGGCACACACAUUAGUAGCUAAUGAAGUCCUUUUUGAAACAAAAAGCUAACACGUUAAUAUCGCAAAUGGUUGUAUUACAUUUACCAUGUCGAAAUUUAACCAUACCCGCUGGCGUGCGUGCAGCUGUUUGAUUAGACGGGACGGGCGCGAGAAGUCCGCCGUGCAGGCUCGACGGGAUGCAUGCGAGCAGUCCGCCGUGUCGUGGUACUAAGUUUGACAAUAGAAUGGGGGGUAGGUAUGAGGAGGCAAGAUCCUAGCUACGGUGAAGUUGUGCACGCAAGAUUUACGAGUUCAGGCCCUUCCCAGAGGAAGUAACAGCCCAACGUCUCGGUCCCCAGAGGCUUGGUCGAUAGGAUUAUGCGUGAAGUUACAUAGGGUGCGAACCCUUGUCCCAGAGGAGGGGGGUGGCUUAUAUCGAGUGCGCCAGGACCCCAGCCAUCCCCCGUUACACAGGGUUCAAUGUACAUAAAGAGAGGACGCGACUAGUAAUGCCAGCAUUAAAGUGAUAUAAAUGACCCUUAAGUCUACUGAGUGAACGUCCUACCAUUGCCAUCCAAAGUAACCAUAGAUAUUCUGUACUCUGAGUGGUUCCUGAUGGUUGAAUGAUUAUAUCCUGGUCGAAUGGAAUUGAGUUAUCCGAGUGGAACUCAUGGUCGAGUGUGUUGCAUCUUGAGGUGAUUCCAGUCGGUAUAGUUUGCUGUCCUUUGAAUGUCUUUGACUAUAGGGUAGUGCCCUUGGGAAGGGUACUUAGAUCAGGUAUAUUGCCCUACCCCAGGUACAUGUCAUCGUCAUUAGCCCCCGAAUGGUUCUGGAUCCGAGCGGAGAUGGAGUUGAAGAUGGUUUCGACCCAAUCUUUGCGCCGCGGAAGCAUUUUACUUAGUUUGGAGAACCAUGCAACAACUUCGACUUCAUUUUUAGUUGCCUUGAGCCAUUCAGAGAUUAUUGAGUGAAUUUUGCUGAUAAGCUUCGACUGCUGAUACUGCAUAAAAUCUCCGGCGUGAUUGACUGCUCUGCCGUUUCCGGAUCUCACGAGAUUCGAAAUUUGGGGAAGCGCAUGGGGCGGAGAGGGCCAUAGUAAUCAGAGCAGAUUAGGCAAGGUGCCUCGAUCCUUGCGCCACCUUUUUCAUCACGUACUGCGCGCGCGACUAUUAUGGGAUUUGACAGGAUCGCCUGGACCCACAAGUCAGCCACUCAGGGAGCCAACCCAUAUAAGGCGUUCGGGCCAAGGCCUUUGCACUAUGCGCCCCAUUUCCCCCUUCUUCCUGUGCUUCUCCACCGCAUCUGCUCUGCUCUUAGUGCCGCCGCCCAGUCCAAGCUCAAUCCGCCGCAAUGGGGAAGGAUAGGAUGGUGACUCUGGAGCGCAUGAAGGAGGCGACAACAAAGGCGAAGGGGAAGAAGACGAGCCGGGCAGGGUCGUCAUCGAGAAUUGGCCUACCGCCCGGCUGGAUCCAGGGCGACUGGAUCCGGUCGAUGAUCCAGCGAGAAGACAUGGAUGAUUUGGUGGACGGGGGCUUGAUUCCCCACAAAUCUUGGCGGCUUCUGGAGGACGAGACCGAGCCGUGACCGCAAGAGGGUGAGUGCGUCCUUCUUGCGACCCAUGUCGACCGCAGCUUCUCUUUGCCUCCCCACCCCUUCUUCCGGGGUUUCCUGAACUUUGUUGGAGCCCAACUUCAUCACUUUUCUCCCAACAACAUAACAUACCUUGCCGUAUACGUGUCCAUGUGUGAGAAAUUUCUGGGUUGGCGACCGCACUGGGGCCUCUUCAAACACAUUUUCACCUGUCGUUCUCAGUCGGUAAAAAAGGCCAAUCCGAGUGAUGAGAGGACACACGUGAUCCAGAUGUGCAGAGGUCCAGGGAUCCAGAUGAGAAAUAAAAGCACUUUCCCCGCCAUGAUUUUUCCCGAGUCAGUCAGGGGGUGGCAAUCGACUUGGUUCUAUUGUAAGGACCAACCGACCCUAGGCCAGUCGACUGGCCUUCCCCCGUUUUCCAUAGAAUGAGUAGAGAAGCCUUCUCCUUUGAGAGUGACUCCGGCUGAAAAUGCGGAGGUGAAUAUGUUGGUUGAGCGAGUGGUCCAACUUGUCCGCGAUGGGGUGACUGGCAUGGACUUGCUAGAAGUUUUUCUCAGUCGACACAUCCAGCCACUCCAAGCCCGUGAUCAUCCAAUGUGGAUGUACUCGGGUGUUGAAGACAGUACUCGGAUCCACCUAGAGGAUGUCGAUGAGGGGACAGUCGCGCAGUGGCUGCAAGGUAUUACUGGCAACAAAGACAACCCCGAGGGGUCUAGGAGGGUUGCUCCACUCGAAAACACCAUCGAACCUAACAAGGUCUUAUUCUUUCCUCCCAAGUGUAUCUUGCUCUAAUAUGUGUUUGGUCUUGAAACUGAUUGAUAUCCACUCAACCCCGUGUCUUCCAGAUCUACACUGAGAUGCACUCGAUGCCGAACGGAGAGCAGGAGGAUGAGGGAGAGGCGAGUGGAGGGGACAAUGGCGAGUGGCAUUCUGACAGAAGGGGAGACGAGGAGAGCGAGGACUUGAGCAGUGGUGAGGAGAUCGACUCCCCUCCUCGCAUGGAAAGACGCUCCAAGCAGAGGCAGGACCCGGCCAGUGUCCAUGGCAAAGCGACCCCCUCGACUGAACAGACUUCCAAGCGCACAAGGACAUCUUCUCCUGCGCCGACUGAGAAAGCCCCGAAGCAACUCAAAGUCAUGCCGCCAAAACCCUGGAAGGACUUGCCCAAGAUCAAAGUGGACAUCUCUAUCGCUUCUGGGUAAUCACUGAGCUCGACCUCUUAUUUUUAGCGUGACCCGUUCUUUGGUCGAUUCACUUUCCUAUUUUAACCGAGUAAAUUCUGAAAUUUGCAGUGCUGCCGCUGGGACUUCAAUGUACCAAGAUGAUGAAGACGAGGAGAUGGAGGAUGCAGUCACCUCCCACGCGGGUAUACCUUUGGUAAUUUGGUCUUUACUUUAUUAGCCAUUUUGAUGGUUGACUGAACUCAUAUAACUGAUUGCUUUGCAGCUCCACCGAAUGUCAUUGAACUUCCAGAUGAUGAUGAAGAUGUGGCACAGAGAGUCAUGGGGAGGAGGGGUAGGACUUAGAGAAAGAAGGCACCAGCUGGCGAGACGUCCCAGUAAACGCCGGUGAUGGAACCAGUGGUUCAGCAGUCCAGAGACGUGAACCAUGCUUCUGUUACUUUUCCUAUUCCAGUGUCAGCUGAACGCCCUUCCUCGUCGACUGCACAAGUCCCUGAUUCAUCUGUCCAGCACCAUGCCUCGGAUCCUCAAGCUGCCGUGACUGGACCCACGUCUCCACUGGUCAUCACCCAUCACGUCCCGGAAGACCAAGUAGGCGCUGCUUCAGAAGCAAUACGCCAAGCAGGCUUGAUGGUGGAGCGGAUGAAGACAAUGCACGAGACCAGCCAAGCCACCUAUGAUGCCAGUGCAGCCCUCCGAGCUAAUGUCCAGGUUAGUUGGUUUCCGACUGUUCUCCUAUCUUGACGCUUGUUCUGUUAGGAUAUGCUACCCAAAAAACUUGCAUUGUGCAUCCAUCUGUCAGUCUGUUCUUCACAUCUAUACGCAUGCUGGGUGUUUCAAUUUAUGCUUAGUAGUCUUUCCAGUUGAGUCGACUAGGUUAUGUCAAUUGCAACUUUGGACUAGUGGGGGCACGCAGAGUGCACCCACUGGGUGUAGUCCCCGAGGCCGCCGUCGAAUGUAUGAUUUGGCAGGGGUCUUGAUGAAAAUAUCUUGUUGUUCAGUUCUUCCACUUGGUCUGGGCGGACCAUGUCGAGUGGAACCUGAACUAGUGGGGGCACGCUGAGUGCACCCACUGGGUGUAGUCCUCGAGACCGCGGUCGACUGCAGGCAGUCGGUUUGGGUCUGAGAAUAACUGUUGCCUCUUUUUUUACUCGGUUUGGGCGGACCAUGUCGAGUGGAACCUGGACCAGUGGGGGCACGCUAAGUGCACCCAGUGGGUGUAGUCCUCGGUACUACUGUUGAAUGUUUGAUUCUGCAGUAGUCUUAGAGUUCUUUUCACUCGGAAGCGAAUAAUCUUCGAUUCUGUCCGCUGAUGCAUCUUUUACUGACUUUAGAAAUCUUGUGAGCUCAUCUCCAAGUUUUCUGAAUUCAAGGAGAAGCAGAGACAGCUCAACCUUGAUCUGGAGUUGGCCAAGAAGAACUUGCAGAAGGCCAAAGACGAAACAACUGGUAUGGAAGGUAACAACUUGUCGACUAUGUAAUUGGAUUGUUUCUCUAGUCGUCUCCUCAUUCUUCUCUCUGAACCGAGUGCUUGUUUGUUGUAUAUAUAUAUUUUUAGAGAAAAUGAGGCAGGCUCUGGCACAGAAGGAUCUUGAUCUUGCCGCAGCGCAGAAGGAGGCUCAGGAGAAAGCAACACUCGCCGAUAAGAAGCUAGCUUCAGUCGGGGCGCUCGAGGAAGACAACGCCAAUUUGAAGACAUCUCUUGCCAAGGCAAUCGAUAAGUGACCCGUCUGAAGAAAGACAAGGUAGCUUUGAACGAUAAGAUUGAAGGCAUUUCUCACAAGAGAAGUGAUGUAGAGGGCUAUCUGGGAGCACUCACCAAGAAGAUAUUCCUUAUGCUUGAAGGUAUCUUUCCUUGUCCGACUGUUUUGCUGUCGUCGAGUCACCAUAAAUCGGCCGACUCAUUAUCUCUUUAUGGUUGCAGAAUUCUGUCAAAACAUUGAGGAAGAAACUGGGAGAAUCGAGACAAGCUUGGACGCCAUCAAUUCUCCUGUCAAUGAUGAAGCUGCUAUGAAUGUGCACCGACUGGAGUCCCGUCUUGCCAGCGUUACAGACUACCUCGCUCGCCUGAAGGUUGCGGUGUCGCGGAUCGACACGGUGCUUUGGCCGAAGGAGAUGCUCCAAAAUGACCUCGAAUCCUUGAUGACUUGACUCAAUGAGAUCCCUGGUCGAGUGCAGGAAUGGAAGAAGUCAUCUGCUCGAUGCGGUGCUGACGUAGUUCUGUCACUUGUUCGAGUCCAUUGUAAGGAGGCUAAGGAAGAAAAGCUAGCAGCGAUCAAGGUUGCCAACACAAAGAGACUCGACUUCCAGCCUUUCAUGGAGACCUUCGUUGCUGCCGCUACUCGAAUUGUAGAUGGAAUUGACCUGGAUGAGUUCGUUGAGCCUGCCAGUCCCCCUCCUGUGGAAUGAACAAACUUUUUAUGAUCUUAUUAAAUUUGCCUCGGUAUGCCGAGUGGUUUUGUAACCGUUAAAACUCCUUCGGCCCGGAUGCCCGAGUACUUUAAUCUGCUAUCUUGAACCUCAUAGGAUUUAUCUAAACUUUGUUGGUUUUGAAUCUCUUGGCUCUGAGUGGAAUUUGAUUCUUCAGUCUAAAUUUCUACUGACUCUGUGGUGCAGCUCAGUCGAGUGGAUCAUGAACAAGGGCACUCGGUACUGUCCAUGACCUGCACCUCGUCGUCCUUGCGGAUUAGGAUGGAACAGACAUUGUAUUUGUGCCGCAGCUCUGAGGAUAAGGUCGCAGUUGACCUGCACCUCGUCGUCCUUGUGGAUCAGGAUGGAGCGGACAUUGUAUUUGUGCCGCAUCUCUGAGUGUGUUUUUAAACUUAGGCGAGUGCGGGACUGCAGCUAAGCCUUCGAGUGAGAGGAUUUCUCUCCACUCGGUAGGUUUUUCUUAAAACUUAGAUGAGUGCGGGACUAUAGCUAAUCCCCCGAGUGGGAGGAUUGCUCUCCACUCGGUAGGAUUUUUUUAAACUUAGAUGAGUGCGGGACUGCAGCUAAGCCCCCGAGUGGGAGGAUUGCUCUCCACUCGGUAGGAUUUUUUCAAACUUAGGCGAGUGCGGGACUGCAGCUAAGCCCCCGAGUGGGAGGAUUGCUCUCCACUCAGUAGGAUUUUUUAAACUUAGGCGAAUCGGAUUCGCAGCUAAGCCCCCGAGUGAGAGGCUUGCUCUCCACUCGGUAGGAUUUUUGAAACUUAGGCGAAUCGGAUUCGCAGCUAAGUCAUCCACUGGGGGAUUUCGGACACAUGUAAAAGUAAUAAAAAUCAUCUAGGAGACUGUAAAACCACGUUGUCGGUGUCAAAACCGGCGGAUCUCGGGUAGGGGGUCCCGAACUGUGCGUCUAAGGCGGAUGGUAAUAGGAGGCAGGGGACAUGAUGUUUACCCAGGUUCGGGCCCUCUUGAUGGAGGUAAUACCCUACGUCCUGCUUGAUUGUUCUUGAUGAUAUGAGUAUUACAAGAGUUGAUGUACCAUGAGAUCGUAGAGGCUAAACCCUAGAAGCUAGCCUAUGGUAUGAUUGUAUGUUGUCCUACGGACUAAACCCUCCGGUUUAUAUAGACAUCGGAGGGGGCUAGGGUUACACAGAGUCGGUUACAAGGGAGGAGAUCUACAUAUCCGUAUUGCCUAGCUUACCUUCCAUGCCAAGGAGAGUCCCAUCCGGACACGGGACGAAGUCUUCAAUCUUGUAUCUUCAUAGUCCAAUAGUCCGGCCAAAGGAUAUAGUCCGGCUGUCCGGAGACCCCCUAAUCCAGGACUCCCUCAGUAGCCCCUGAACCAGGAUUCAAUGACGAUGAGUCCGGCGCGCAGUAUUGUCUUCGGCAUUGCAAGGCGGGUUCCUCCUCCGAAUACUCCAUGGAAGAUUUUGAACACAAGGAUAGUGUCCGGUUCUGCAAAACAAGUUCCACAUACCACCGUAGAGAGAAUAAUAUUUCCACAAAUCUAAUCUGCUGACACGUUUUGACUACAUGACAUCACGCCAUGGCCCGGUCAUUAUUCGAACCGUUUUUCUCAAAUAGCACCGCACAUAUCGCGAGGCGGUUUUCUUGACAUGUCUUGUCAAAGCAGAGACCGUGUUCCCCUCAUUAUGGGAUUCUCAUUAAUACGGACAUGGGUAACCCAACUGCGCCACCAAUUACGGCGCUUGGGGAAUAAGCGAUUUUACCAGGAAAGUGGGGAGGCGCAUCGCCUCCUCCGCCCUUAUAAAGGGACGAAGAUUCACUCUUUUCACCCACGCCUUCUUCCUCCUUGCUUACCCAUUCCCGCACACUCGAGCUCUAGCGCCCAAGCUCGCGUUCUUCUUCUCAAACCACUCCAAGCAUGCCCGGAGCAGGAGGCAAAGUGGAUGGUCUCCUCCGUCAUGGAGGAGAACAUCAAAAAGUUAUGGGAAGCCGGAUAUGUAGCCACGGAUAUCGCGCACCGACUGCCAGAUGCGGGGCAGAUCAUCCCAACGCCCGAACCCCAUGAUAGGGUAGUUUUUCUUACCCACUUUGUCCGUGGACUGGGAUUUCCCCUCCACCCGUUUGUCCGCGGGCUCAUGUUCUACUACGGGCUGGAUUUUCAUGAUCUGGCCCCCAAUUUCAUCCUCAACAUCUCGGGGUUUAUCGUCGUGUGCGAGGCCUUCCUCCGCAUCAAGCCCCAUUUCAGCCUGUGGCUGAGGACCUUCAAUGUCAAACCGAAGGUAGUGGUCGGACAGCAAGCGGAGUGCGGAGGCGCCAUGGUGGCAAGAUGCCUAAUGUCACUUGGCUUGAAGCCUCCUAUGUGGAGACCAUAAAGGGGUGGCAAUCGGGGUGGUUCUACAUCACCGAACGGCGCGACACCAACUGGGUGGCGGCCACCGAAUUCCGAUCCGGAAUCCCCACACGGCUCACCUCCUGGAAAGAGAAGGGCCUGUCUUGGGGUUCCUCGGUAGAGCUAAACGGACUCUAGACCUGCAUCAAGAACAUGAUGAGCAAGAAAAUUAAGCUCGUCAACGUGGUCCAGGUCAUGCUCUUCCGUCGGAUUCUCCCGUGUCAACAACGGGUAUUCAACUUGUGGGAGUUCGACCCGGCCAAGCACCAGACGCUACGAGAGCUCUAUGGCAUGACGCACGAGGAUGUCUGAAGGGUGUUGUUUAAGGGCGCCGAGGUACCUCUUUCCCUCACUGAGGACCGCAGACUCAGCGCAAAGCGCCGCGCCAAUCCGGUGAGUUUUUAUAUUUCACAGGGUAUCUAUUUGCCCCAGUUUAAUCAUGUGCAUGAUCUAAGCCUUCCAUGCCUUUAACAGGACUGGGUGAAGACAGCGGAGCAGAUCGAUUGCCCCGCCCCCCUGUCGGAAGAUCCUGCAGAUGCUCUCCUGACGGAGAUGCUGGUUCCAGCACCUUACGAGGUGCCGGUGAAGAAGGCCAAGAAGAAGGCCGCAGGGACCCGAAAGGGUCUCCGGCGCAAGGAUGUAUCGGACUCAUCGUCCGAUAACUCCGACGCGCCCUCCUCCCAUGAAAACGAGAAGGAGGAAGAGGAAAGUUCUCCCCCCCAGCUGGGGGAGACAAUAAAAGGAAGGCCGGCCCAAUCGGGGAGGCCGAAGGGUCCAAGAAGGGCAAGACCCUCCCUCUGGACUGCUCCACGACGGUCGUGUACAACGGCGACGAGUGGCUACCCAGGGUCAAGCCCGUGGAGAAGUUGUAAGUAUCUGGACACCAUAGUAAUUCGUGGUAUGUUUUACUGCACUGCUUCUUCUCAUGCCGAAUAUGAUUAUGCAGUCCGUCCCGAGCUCAUCUCGAUGUAACUUCAUCGAGCGGUUCGCUGGACUCGUCGGAUAUGAACAACGGUUCUCUUCCGACCGCCUCAACUCCUUGCCCUGCGGACAACAUGGAGGUGUUGUCUCAACAGGCCGGUCCAAGGGGAGGCAGUCUUGGGGGUGCCUCGAGGCGACCUUCCGGACCCUGGGCGCAAAGGGAUCCGGACUCCCAUGGGCUCCAGGUUCGGCCCCCAGCCGAACACUGCACCGGAAUGUUUGGUGGUUCCGGACUGUGGCGGGCGACCCCCCGUUAAGGGGGCAAGCCGCCUGUGCCGGUGUCCUCUGUCUAUCCAGAGGCACCGGACAGCUUGCUGGAAGCGCUUCGCGGCACUUCCAUCGACGAAGAGCACCGUACUAUCAUGAGUGCGGUGAUCGAGAAAGUUCAGUCCGCCAAAAACGGACUGACUAAAGCUUGCGCCAGCCUCCUAACAGGCUUUGAGGUAAGCAAUCAAAAUAUAAGAAAAUAUUACCGCAUAGAUAGUAGCCCCUGAUGCUCUGUUCGGCGUUCGAGUAGAAAGGCCGAAUAGAGGAUCAAAUGAUGACUCAGGAGUCUAAUCAGAAUAUAUCUAUGUGUAUGUGCAGGCUUCACUACUGGCCAAUGCUCCACGUACUGCGGAGGUCUCUGCGCUAAAGCAGGACUUGGAGCGGUCCGAGAACGAGCUUGGCCUUACCAAGAGGCAUCUCAAGGAUAUAAAAUAAAAGAAAUUUGGGUGUAAAGUAAUAGGAUCAUCAUGAAUUUUCCAGGGCCACGACCGAAGUGGCAACCCUAAGGAAGGUGCUCUCCGAGGCCAAAGACAAAGCGGCAAGGAGCGCAUUGAACGGGAGAAGCACGAAGCCCGAGUAGGCGAGGUGCAGCAAGAGCUCGAGGCUCUCGCCAAAAAGCAUGAGUCCUUGGAGCUUGACUCUAAGACACGAGAGUCCGAGCUCAUGCAGGUGCUUGAAAGCGUCCAGAGCGCCAAGGCCGAAGCACAUAAGGCUCUCUAGGAGAUUGAUGUGGUGAAGAAGAUAGCAGUGGGUAAGGCAUUCAUUAUGCAAAGCAAGCACGUGAAGGGGACUUUCCUUUUUCUUACCCGAAUUCGGAGCUCUCCAGGAGCGUUUGCAGAUCUUCCCCGCAGUGUACUCCAUGCCGCAGAGUUUACUGAGCUGAGGAGGGGAGCUCGACGGAGAAGUUGUUCUGGUCUCAGUAUACUAGGACCGAACACCCCUGCCCUUGAGCGACCAGCUGAAGCAGUUGGUCGAGCUUCACAAGGCGGCCGAACAAGCCAUGAGGGGCUUUAUAGUCCGGAUGUGGCCUGGUGAGCCCCUGUCCGGCAGCUACUUCAGUCUAGUAAGGUGGCUCGUCGACGCCUACCCAUGGCUUGAAGUCAUAAAGCGGUCCUUUUGCAUCGAGGGUGCGCGCAGGGCUUUUGCCCGGGCAAAGGUGCACUGGGUGAAGCUGGACGCCGUGAAGCUAGUGAAGGAGGGGCCGCCGGAGGGCAAGGAGCAUCGCUGCCCCGAGAUGUACUAUGAGAGUGUCCUGAAGGGUCCCCGCCUUGUGGCGGAUGACUGUGCCAAGGAUGUAAUUUUUGAAUGAACAUGCUCAUGUGAUCCUGUAAUAUGAAACGAGUUCAUUUGCGCCAUGCGACCCUUUUUUAAUUUAAAAUAUUACCUUAUGUGCGUCCGUUUGUAAAAUCUGAGAGUUGGCUAGUCGUCGGCUUCUGCCCCCAUGUAACUAGUACUGGGGUGUUCGGGAUAAACCUGAGCACUCUUUACCCCAAUUUUGGGUCCUUCAAGGGAGGUGUUCAGCGCAACGAACCAGGAAAUCAGACUGUAAUGCUUUAUCACUCUCACUUAGCCAUAGAAGUCUACAAUUUUAAAUUUUGGCGAAGCCCCUGGUAUUCAGAAGGCCGAAUUUGGGGCGCUAUACACGUCUAAGCCGGACAAGGCCGACUCCUCGCUGGAAGCGGAAAAAGUCUUUAAGGACUUGAGACCUCUCGAACAACGACCAGUCUCUCACCUUAUCAUGACAGUCAGUUUUUGGCUUUCUCUACUGAGGUGCUCGUCCGGAAGAAUCGGGACACAAUCGCAGUAGUUCUCCCACCGCUACCUUAGCCGAUAUAGCGGAACGUAAGGUACCAAAGCAUGGGAGCCGGGCAAACCCAACAUUUGACCAAAGACAUGAUUCGGAGCUGAUGCAUAUAAUGCUAUAAGUUCGGGGUGUCGCACUGUCGAAAGUGUUCGGACUUCUUGCGCCGUAUUAUGGGGUAAACGAAAGCCCCUGGCAUACUGACCGUACCCGAACAUGCGGGUGCAGAUUGUCGUAAAUGGACAUAAAGAAAAAAUGGAAUGAAUAAUGCAAUAAUAGACUAAUGCUAUGCAUUGUUAUUAAAUAAUACGUCGAAGUGUACUGGUAUAGGUAGUGCAAUAAGCAGAAAGUAGGACUAUUCAAAAUAUCCUAUCCAAGGGCAAGCUGCGUAUGGAUAGUAGAAAGCGGGUAUUAUUAUUAGAGACCACCUGGGGGUUCCCGUGUACUUCUUAGCUUCUUGCUGCCUUGGUUGUUCCUUCCCGUAAUGUGUCCGGCAAUCAUACUGCCGGAAAGGGCUUCCAAAGAGUUAGGCCUUGAAAUAGAAAAGAAGUAAUAAAGGUAUACAGCCCCUAGUGCGGUUAAGCCGCAUUGUGGGACGUGCCUUGAUCGUGCCCCUACCUAUGUCCAUGGUAUUUUUAGUGCGUAAUCAUGUAUGUGCGGCACGGAUUUCGUCGCUUGACUGGUACUGGGACAGGGGCCGAAUUGCUAGGUGAGCUCUGAACGUGCCAGGCGAUCCUGUUGCAGUUUACUCCGGACACGCUUGAAGGUGUUUGGGGGUUGUAUCGCCCAAUUAGUGGUUUUCCUUAAAAGUCUGCUUUGUGCUUCUGCUGCAAGGGCCGUAGUGUGCUCUUCCGUGCGGAGUGAGCGUUCUGUUUUUCCAUUCACUGUUAUGACCCCCCCGAGGUCCUGGCAUCUUGAGCUUGAGGUAUGCGUAAUGCGGUACUGCAUUGAAUUUUGCAAAUGCAGUUCGUCCGAGCAGUGCAUGAUAGCCACUGCGAAACGGGACAAUGUCGAAGAUUGACUCCUCGCUUCGGAAGUUUUCCGGUGAUCCGAAGACUACUUCCAGUGUGAUUGAGCCCGUGCAAUGGGCCUCUACACCUGGGAUGACACCCUUAAAGGUGGUUUUGGUGGGUUUGAUCCUCAAGGGAUCGAUACCCUUUUUCGCAUUGUAUCCUGAUAGAGCAGGUUCAGGCUGCUGCCGCCGUCCAUAAGGACUCGAGUGAGAUGAAAUCUGUCGAUGAUGUGGUCUAGGACCAGUGCAGUGGAUCCGCCAUGACGGAUGCUAGUGGGGUGAUCCCUGCGAUCAAAGGUGAUCGGGCAAGAGGACCAUGGGUUGAACUUUGGGGCGACGGGCUCCAUCGCAUAGACGUCCCUUAGUGGACGCUUCUGCUCCCUCUUGGGAAUGUGGGUUGCGUAUAUCAUGUUCACCAUCUUCACUUGUGGGGGGAACCCUUUCUGUCCUCCCGUGUUCGGUGGCCGGGGCUCUUCCUCGUCAUCACUAUGCAGCCCCUUGUCCUUGUUUUCGACAUUUAACUUGCCGGCCUGCUUGAACACCCAGCAUUCUCUGUUGGUGUGAUUGGCUGGCUUGUCGGGGGUGCCGUGGAUUUGACACGAGCGAUCCAGUAUGAGAUCCAAACUGGAUGGAGCCAGAGUACUUCUUUUAAAUGGCUUUUUCCGCUGACCAAACCUAGAGCCUAUGAAUCCGGCAUUGACUGCCGUAUCCUCAGUGUUAUCGCCGUUAUUGCAACGCUUUGGUUUGUUACAAUGUUGUUUGUCGUUGGCAUCUUUGGUAUCCGAAGUGCCCGGAUUCCUCGAUGUGUUAUUACUGCGAGCCAGCCAGCUAUCCUCGCCCACGCAGAAGCGUGUCAUGAGUGUCGUGAGGGCUGCCAUAGACUUCGGCUUCUCUUAGCCAAGGUGCCGGGUAAGCCACUCGUCGUAGAUGUUAUGCUUGAAUGCCGCUAAGGCCUCUGCAUCCGGACAGUCGACAAUUUGGUUUUUCUUAGUCAAGAAUCGUGUCCAGAAUUGUCUGGCUGAUUCCCCUGGCUGCCGAGUUAUAUGGCUGAAGUCAUCAGCAUCCGGUGGUCGCACAUAAGUGCCCUGGAUGUUGUCAAGGAAUGCGUCUUCCAGAUCCUCCCAACUAUCGACGGAGUCUGCUGGCAAGCUAUUUAGCCAAUGCUGAGCUGGUCCUUUGAGUUUUAGUGGGAGGUAUUUGAUGGCAUGUAGAUCGACACCGCGAGCCAUGUGGAUGUGAAGGAGGAAAUCCUCAAUCCAUACAGCGGGGUCUGUUGUACCAUCAUAUGAUUCGAUAUUUAUGGGUUUGAAACCCUCCGGGAAUUCAUGAUCCAUAACUUCAUGAGUGAAGCAUAGGGGGUGUGCGGCGCCUCUGUGCCAGGCUAUAUCCCGACGCAAUUCAUGUGAGUCUUGUCUACUGUAUUCGGCCCGGCCGGAUUUGCUUUUGGUGUAUCCGACAUGACGAUCAUCGUCCCGUGUUGGUGCGCGUGCCCGUGACCCGUAUAUUGACCUUGCAAUUUUUUCCUUACUGUCCAAUACGUAUCGCAGGUCCCCUGUGUUGCCCCGGGCCUUAGUAUUUUUGAUUGAGUGGCGGCAGGGUGCAGGCUGAACUUCAGGCUGAAACGCCUCUCUGGCUCGACCACAUAGUGGCCGGUUAGCCGCAUCGUACACUGGUGAAUGAGGUUUCAAUGCUUCCUCCUCGAGGUGAGGUAGCAACCUGCGUUUUGGGUAACUCUUGGAGGGGCGCUCGAGUUCAUACUCCUCAGCCGCAAGGACUUCGGUCCAUCUGUUUGCUAGCAAGUCUUGAUCGGCUUGAAGCUGUUGCUGCUUUUUCUUCAGGCUAUUUGCCGUGGCCAUAAGCCGGCGGGCGCUUGAAGCGCUCUUGCUCGACGGGGUCCUCAGGCACGAUAAAUUCUUUGUCGCCGAGGCUCGCCUCGUCUUCGGAGAGAGGCAUGUAAUUGUCCUCCUCCGGUUCUCCAUCUGCUACCUGCUCUAUGUAGGAGAUAUGCCCUAGAGGCAAUAAUAAAUGAUAUUAUUUAUCUCCGAGUUCAUAAUUAUGUUUAUGUUCUAUACUAUAAAUGCUAUGGUUCUCGAGUCUGCAAUAACCACGAGGCUCGGAGGAAGACUCAUAUGCACGUGUGGAAUAAUAAACGGUAAAAUGUAUUCCUAGUCUGGCCUCUAAGACUAGCUCAAGUGUUGCAUGAUGGUUCUGUUUUCCUGAUCAUGGGCAUGUCUAUGCCAGCAACCUUGAGGGCACAAUGUUAAGAGAACAUUUGUGUUGAAUUGACCCGGAUUGAUGUUAUGCUAAGAGAUUCAUUCGUCACAAGUUAAUGGUACAUAACACAGAGAUGGUUAACGUUUGCAUGAUUCCUUAGACCAUGAGAGUAUCGAGUUUCUUCAUGCUUGCUUCAUGAACUUUGGGGUUUGUUAAACGUCAUCCGUAAAUGGGUGGCUAUUACGGCGGCUUACGGGUUCAUGGAAAAGUGUGUCAAGUAACUUGAUAGCUCAAGAUUGGGAUUUGCUCCUCGAUGGAGAGAUAUUCUCGGGCCCUCUCGGUAUUACGGUAUCCAUCAUCGUCUGGCUAGACACAGUGUGAUUUGAUCACUAGGAUGCCGGAACACGGAAACUAGAAAAGAGAACAAAACCGGUAACGAGGUAACUUGCAUGGUGGACAAAUUGUUUGUCCAUGGGGAUGCAAUAAAUCUCACCUUGGGUGUUUGUGACAUAUUGCGAAGCAACAGGAAUAGCUCACUACAACUGGAGGUUCACUCGAAUAUUUAUUCGUGUGGGUAUAGGGGUCAAUAUGGGUGUCCACGGCUCCGAUGUUGAUCAUUGAUCGGAAGGGGUUCUGGGUCAUGUCUAUACUUCACCGAACCUAUAGGGUCACACGCUUAAGGGUCAUCUAUCUGCUGAAUACUAGACAAGGAGUCUGAGAGAAAAUCACCGGAAAAGUUUCGGACAGCGGAAAAGGUUCCGCACAGAGAGGUCAUCGGAUGAGUUUCGAUGAAACUGAAAAGUUGUUUCAGGGGAUACCAUUAAGUCAAAUUGGUUUCCGCACAUGCCUGAUAAUUCUUGGAGGGUGCCAGAAUCAUUCUGGAAGAUUUCUGGAAUUUUCCGGGAUAAUAACCGGAUAUGCUCCGGAGCUGCCGCAACCACUUCAGAUGCUUUUCGUAGAUGAAAAUCACUAAACCGGAAUUGUUUCGGAACGCUUUGAAAAUCAUUUUGGUGGGUACUGGAAAUUUUCUAAGCUCACAUAAAUAUUUUCAGUUCGAACGGACGCUGAAAAAUGUCAUCGCGAAUAGUGAAAGUACUUUUUGGGAUAUUUAUAGAAAGCCACCUUUUGGGGCUUUUCCCAAAAGGCUUCUAGAAGGACUUCGGGAUCAAGGAACCCCCUUUGGGGGGCCCCCAUGAAGGUGGGACGUUGGAGGGUGCAGCUCCUCCAUGGGGCUCCACUUGUCAUCCCUUUAUGCCUUUUAUACCCUUUGUGUGUGACAUAAAGUGGGGGCACUUUUGGUAUUUCAGAAUACCCAUCCUACCCCUUGGUUUCCCUAUAAAUAGGAGGUGAGGGGGCUGCCCAAACCUCAUCCCUUAUCACAUACAAGUGCCAUGCAAUGAUCUGGCUUCUUCUCUCCCUCCCACGAAAAGAGUUUCGUAGAGCCGUAAGGUUGUCUGGGUUCCGGCAGGAACUAGUUCUAGACGGCGAAGCCCUGCCGGAUAGAUGACACCGUAUGUGUGCAACUCUGUAGAGAGAUCGUAGUUUCAGUCUUAGUUCGUGAGUGCCUCCUGAAGGGCUGUCCGUGUGACCGUCCGAGUUUUGAAGGUCCUCCCGAAGGGCUGUCCGAGUGACCGUCCGAGUUUCGAAGGUCCUCCCGAAGGGCUGUCCGCGACACUGUCUGGGGGGCUAUUCGACCGCCUCCCGGAGGGCUGUCUGAGGAGCAGAUGAGGGUAUACAUCCUCGCGGUAGGGAGGUUGUAAAUCCUAGCUGCGGGGAUGUGCACCGCCGAUCGUCAUCGACUCUACUUCCCGCUGCGCUACGAGUCGGUAACGAAGGAGAUCAAACCAUGUAUGCAGUCUCCAUAGUGGUCCUGGGCUGGUGCGUAGGUCGGAAAUUUUUGUUUUCUGCCACGUUCCCCUACAGUGGCAUCAUGAGCCGUGCUAUGCGUAGAUGCAGGUUUCGAUCUAGAAUACAUGGAGAUGUAUGGGCAUUGCAUAAUAUAAUUAGGUAGUAGAUGAGAUCUAUUGUUGAAAAUUAUUUAUAAUGGUGACAGAUGAAAUCUGUUACCCGACGUUCUUGUUGCUUCCCUAGAAUUUGCGUUUGCUCAAUCUCGAGACAACAUGGUGGAAUUUGACAAAGUUCUGGCAAUCUGUGAUCCUUAUUGAUCAUGGAAGUGCUAUCAGUUCUUUGGGUUCUGCCGUAGUCAAAAGAAAGAUGAAAUUUGCAGAUGUAAGGGCAUUGCAGAUAUGAUCUGCACGGGGGUCAUGCGUAUGACGAAGUUUAGUAUGGGGCUCGAGAUUUAAUUAUCUCGUGUUUCAUACACCCCAAGAUGUUAAUCUAGCAACUUGAAUAAUCAUACUUGAUGAUAAAACAUUGGUAGCUGCGGUUUAAGUCAAAACCUUAGAAGCCACGUAAAAUAAAAUUUUGCAUAAACCGAUUAGAGGCGUCUAACUUGGUUUUGCAGGAUGUGCAUGUGAUGUGGUAUAGCAAUGCUCAUAUUCAAUUUGAUUAUGUAUGAGAUGACUAUAUGAUGUAAUUAACAUGACCUGCGUGUCAUGAUUCGGCAUGCUGGCUGGAGCCAUAUGAUUGUCACUUUAAUGACCUGCGUGUCAACCUUAAGUAAUGCACUUAUUUUAUUAGCUAUAUAGAUAGCAAUAUUAUCUGGUGCAUCAACAGGGUGGUGGCAAUCUUCAUGAAGGUGAACACCGAUGCGAAUGCCGAAGAGGAAGAAAUGAAAUACUUCUCCAUCAGAAAGGGCUAUACCAUAUCAUGCUAUUAUGAAUUGCCUGAGAUGUUUAUCCCUUAUGAUGCACCCUUCUUGAUUGCGCGGUAGUCGCUUUUUUAGGGUGAUCUCUCACUUAAAAUAUCAAAGUAGUUAGUGUUCACCCAAGUGUAGAACCAUCUGAAAUUCGUAUCUUUUCGGGGUGCGCCAUGUACACAUGAGCAUGAACGAAUCGAGAGGAAUGAGGCGGGUGAGGUCAGACCUCGCAGCAAGAUCACUUGGUUGUCUUUGACGUUCAGGCAGGAGAGUCCUGAGCUCGGAACACGGCCAUUGAAAGAUGUACAAGAAUCACAUAGAGAUGUGUUCGGCAAGUUGGCCUAUCGAUUGAAAUUCGUGUCAUCAGUGAUGAACCCGUCAAUGGCAUCGAAUAGAAAUAUGGAUCUUGAAUCACUCUAAAUCAAUUAUGAGAGAUAUUGAUUUGAGUGGGGGCGCACUAUUGAAUUAACAUGUUUAAUUCUCAGUGCAAUUAAUUAUGAACACUGUCUAAGUGUUUCUUUCAAAAUAGUUGUAGAAUAAUGGCUCGCAUUUCCACCUUCCGUGUUAAAAUUGAAUAGCUGUUAAAUAUCUGGUUAAAACUUUAUGUUUGGUAACGUAAUGUGAGGAUUGUCCUCAAAAGUGUCGAGAAGGAUUUUGUCCUAUCGCAUGCUUUCCAUAUCCUCCCGCUAAUGCUAUGGAUCAUGUGACUCUCGUCCUUCGAUCCAAAAGCUAGAAUUGUGUUACGGUCAAGUGGAAUAUGUUUGCUUCCAUGAAACCCAAACUUCGAAAGUUGGGAUAGUUAUAUGAUAUUCAUGGAACUAAAAAUUAUUUUUAGAUACAAACAAAGCAAUGUUUGUUUGCAAGUAUUAGUAAAAGUGUUUACUAUGCAUUUGACUGUUGGGAAAGGGAUCCAGAAGAACGCCUGUCAUAUAAAGAAAGGUGAAUAAAACAACAACUUAAAGAGAAAGGAUGUGUCCAAAGGGUGUUAGUAUGACUUACACGCCUAGGAAGUCCGGGGCUAACGCCACUCUUAAGUUGGGUGCUUCUUUUGCGAGUAGGAGAAAUACUAAAAGUUAAACAGUUAGAAGUAUAAAGGCAAAAGAGAGAUGACUGGAAUAUCCAGCUCAUGUAUGAAUGUCAUACAAGUUUUUGAUGUAUAGUAGGCUGGUCAAAGAUAUAGUUCUUGGGAAUUAUGGUUAAACAUGUUAAUCACUAAUUCUUGGGUAUUGUGAUUUAAUCACAAAGAUACCCACUUGAUUGCAUUCUGUUGCGAAUCAAUGUAAGACCUACUAUGGCCCAAAGACUAGCCAGAAAUGAGGUUAAUGUAUACACAGGGAACAUAGUAAAUGUUACUAUACCUUCCAUCAGUGUAUUGUUGUCUGUAUUUAUUUUCAUAAUUCAUUUAGAGUUUUGCAAACUCUAGCCCAUUGCAUAAGGUAUCUUGCAAGAAGGUUGUUCAUAAGAGAACCUUUUAUGUUCGAUGUUAUGAAUAACACAAGGGACAUACUUUCAUUAUGAAUGAGAUGUAUGUUAUGAAUAUUGAUAAUAAUACAAUACCUCUGGGUUUACUUUCAUAAUUCAUUUUAGAGUUUCUUACACUCAAGCCCAUUGCAUAAUGUUUAUUGCAAAAGAGUUGUUCAUAAAAACAACAAUUGUUGUUAAGUAUUAUGAAUAACAUGAAGGGCCAUGCUUCCAUCCAAGAUGGGAUGUAUGUUAUGAAUAUUGAUGGUAAUAUGAUACAUCCAUAACACUGACGCUAAAUGUCGCAAGACUAAAAGAAUACCACACAAGUGUGGCACUACAUUUGGUCACAUUGGAGAAACCCGCAUGGAAAAUUCCAUUAUGAUGGAUUUUGAAGUCUUUUUGAUUUUGAAUCAUCUGACACUUGCAACUUUCCUCCGAAAAGUGAAGUGACUGAAAUACCGUUCACAGGCCAUAAGGAAUGAGCAACAAACUUAUUGGUGAUCAUACAUUUUGAUGUGUGUAGUUCAAUAAAUGUUGUUGCAAGUAGUGGAUUUAUAUAUCUUCAGACAUUACUCAAGUAGAUAUAUGGAUAUUUGCUUGAUGAGACGUAAGUCUGGAUCUUUUGAAAUCAUUCGAAAGGUUUUCAAAAAUGAAGUAGAAGUUAUUGUAACAAGGAAAUUAUGUUUCUACAAUUUGAUUGCAGAAAGGAAUAUCUGAGUUACAAGUUUAGCGAAUGUCUGAUGAGUUGUGAAAAGAGUUUCAUAACUUACACCUUCCAGAACACCACCAUGAGUGGAAUGUCUGUGAAGAUGUAAUCAAACCAUUUAUGACAUGGUAAGGUCAAAGAUGACAUAAAUAAAUUUGCCAUUAUCCCUUUUAAAGUGAUGCUUUAGAGACUGCGGCUUUUACACUGAAAAGAGCUACAUCGGGUCUGUUGAAAUGAAGCCAUGGUAUGGUACGCCCCACCAUGUUAUAUCUUUUCUUAACAUUUGGAAUGUGGGCUUGUGUAAAAGGUUACAAAGCUAUUCUAAAUCAGAAAAGUGCUACUUUGUAGGUUAUACCAAAAUGUUGGGUAUUCCUCCCUCACUAUACCGAGGCAAAUAGUUUUGCCGCGAAACGGUGUACUUUUAAAGAGAAUGGUUCUUUCAAAAAGGUGAGUGGGAGAAUAGUGCAACUCGACGAGAUAAACAGUAUCUUCAUCAUCAGAUCAAAGGAAAGAGACAUUGGAAGUAAUUCCAUAGUUUCCUACUGCGACUGAUACGGAAGUCUCUACAAUAAAAUGUAUGAACUUCGGUCGAACUUGCAGCUGAACCACGUAGGCAAGGCUCGUGCAAACCUCUCAGGUGCGCAAAUGAGAUAUUGUUGUUAGACAACAUUAUACCUACGAUACACAAGGAAGCGUUGAUGGGCCCUGACUCCGGAAUUGGCUAAAUGCCAAUACAACCCAAGUUAGUUUCCAUAUAAGUGAUUCAAGAUUAAAACCUUGAUACACCUUUUGGAAGACUUAGAGUCUAACGAAUAUUGAUGGAACUUAAAACUGAUAUGGAUAAAAAUGUUUUAUCCAUAAAGCUCGACUUGUUGAAAUAACAAGUUCAAGAGUUGACUACGAUGAGGUUGUUUUCAUCGUAGCGAUGCUUAAAGUUGGUUCGGGUUGAACUAGCAAUUAAUACAUAUUUCAAUCAUGAGAUCUGAAACAUGGAUGACAAUAGGAUUUCCAUCUGAUGGAAAUGCAACCAAGGACUUGCAUGUGUUACAGUCCAAGGAAUUUUGUCUAUCCAGAGGAUGCUAGUAAGGGUGCAAACUUCAGAGUUCCAGCGAUGGACAGAAGAGAGCAAAAUGGAGUUGGAAUCUUCAUGCUUUGAUGAAAUGGUCAAAGGGGUUUGACUUCAUCAAUGGGUAACGAAGAUGCUUGUAAUUCAAGAAAGUAAGUGGGAGCGUAAUAAUUUUUCUAAAAACCUUGUGUGCUUGACACAUUGUUAAUUGGAAAUAAAUUUCUUGACAGGAAUUAGGACUUCAUUUGAAAAUAGUUUUUUGAUGAAGUGCUUAGGCUAAAUAGCCUCAAUAUUAGGCAUAAUGAUCUAUGGAGAUAGAUUUACCUAAUAGGGCUAAGCAAUGAAUACAUAUUGACAAGGUGCUAAAACCUUUUAGCAUUUAAAACCGCCAAGGAGUGAUUCUUGCCGGAGUCACAUGGAAGAGUUUUUUGCAAGACUCGGUGUCCCAAAACACUAAUGAGCAAAAUACAUGAUGCCAAUUCCACACACUUUUGUGUUUGGAUUAAUCAUGUAUUCCAUGGUAUGUAAAACAACCAGAUAUGUCUGAUACUCCCAAGGUGUUGCGAGUAUGGAUACUAAAGUGAUCAAAGUACUGAUCGUUGGACAAUAGUGAAAGAUGUCAUUGAGUACUAGAGUAAGUACUGAUGAUAUGUUUUCUCGCAAGCGGAGAUCAUGAAGAGUUUGUUGUAAAAUGUUACAUCGAAACAGUCUUCAUCUUUUCUCCAUGCGAUUUUCGAUUUAAAUUGAGGGUUUUGUGUAACACAAUAUGGUGGUGCAGUUAGUUGGAAAUUGUUCCAAACAAGUUACUGUGGCGAAUUCUAUAACAGAGGCGGAGUAUGUUGCCGCUUUAGAAGCGACAAAGACAAAGAUGUUGAAUCAUAUAGUUCAUUCAUGAACUUAGUAUGGUUCCAAGAAGGCUUUGGUCAAUGGGACACUAUUGCAGAUAGUUGCUCCAUAACUCAGUCUGAGGAAUCAGGUUUCGACCAAUGAUUCACAUAUAUACAAAGCCAAGUCCGCACAAAAUAUGAAUUUUGUGAAAGCGUGAAAACGCGAGGAUAUGCAGAGAUACACAUGGAGCUGAAGUUGUCAGAUCCGAUGGACAUCAGGCUAUACCACAUGCGAAGCAUUUUUUACACCGGUAUGCCAUAGGUGUAAAGUGCAUUUGCAUUAACUAGAUUAUUGACUCUAGUGCAAGUGGGAGUCUAUAGGAGAUAUGCCCUAGAGGCAAUAAUAAAUGAUAUUAUUUAUCUCCGAGUUCAUAAUUAUGUUUAUGUUCUAUGCUAUAACUGCUAUGGUUCUCGAGUCUGCAAUAACCACGAGGCUCGGAGGAAGACUCAUAUGCACAUGUGGAAUAAUAAACGGUAAAAUGUAUUCCUAGUUUGGCCUCUAAGACUAGCUCAAGUGUUGCAUGAUGGUUCUGUUUUCCUGAUCAUGGGCAUGUCUAUGCCAACAACCUUGAGGGCACAAUGUUAAGAGAACAUUUGUGUUGAAUCGACCCGGAUUGAUGUUAUGCUAAGAGAUUCAUUCGUCACAAGUUAAUGGUACAUAACACAGAGAUGGUUAACGUUUGCAUGAUUCCUUAGACCAUGAGAGUAUCGAGUUUCUUCAUGCUUGCUUCAUGAACUUUGGGGUUUGUUAAACGUCAUCCGUAAAUGGGUGGCUAUUACGGCGGCUUACGGGUUCAUGGAAAAGUGUGUCAAGUAACUUGAUAGCUCAAGAUUGGGAUUUGCUCCUCCGAUGAUGGAGAGAUAUUCUCGGGACCUCUCGGUAUUACAGUAUCCAUCAUCGUCUGGCCAGACACAGUGUGAUUUGAUCACUGGGAUGCCGGAACACGGAAACGAGAAAAGAGAACAAAACCGGUAACGAGGUAACUUGCAUGGUGGACAAAUUGUUUCUCCAUGGGGAUGCAAUAAAUCUCACCUCGGGUGUUUGUGACAUAUCGUGAAGCAACAGGAAUAGCUCACUGCAACUGGAGGUUCACUCGAAUAUUUAUUCGUGUGGGUAUAGGGGUCAAUAUGGGUGUCCACGGCUCCGAUGUUGAUCAUUGAUUGGAAGGGGUUCCGGGUCAUGUCUAUACUUCACCGAACCUAUAGGGUCACACGCUUAAGGGUCAUCUAUCUGCUGAAUACUAGACAAGGAGUUUGAGAGAAAAUCACUGAAAAAGUUUUGGACACCGGAAAAGUUUCGGACAGCGGAAAAGGUUCCGUAGAGAGAGGUCAUCGGAUGAGUUUCAAUGAAACUGAAAAGUUGUUUCAGGGGAUACCAUUAAGUCAAAUUGGUUUCCGCACAUGCCUGAUAAUUCUUGGAGGGUGCCAAAAUCAUUCUGGAAGCUUUCUGGAAUUUUCCGGGAUAAUAACCGGAUAUGCUCCGGAGCUGCCGGAACCACUUCAGAUGCUUUUCGCAGAUGAAAAUCACUAAACUGGAAUUGUUUCGGAAUGCGUUGAAAAUCAUUUUGGUGGGUACUGGAAAUGUUCUAAGCCCACAUAAAUAUUUUCAGUUCGAACGGACGCUGAAAAAUGUCAUCGUGAAUAGUGAAAGUACUUUUUGGGAUAUUUAUGGAAAGCCACCUUUUGGGGCUUUUCCCAAAAGGCUUCUAGAAGGACAUGGGGAUUAAGGAACCCCCUUUGGGGGUCCCCCAUGAAGGUGGGACGUUGGAGGGUGCAGCUCCUCCAUGGGGCUCCACUUGUCAUCCCUUUAUGCCUUUUAUACCCUUUGUGUGUGACAUAAAGUGGGGGCACUUUUGGUAUUUCAGAAUACCCAUCCUACCCCUUGGUUUCCCUAUAAAUAGGAGGUGAGGGGGCUGCCCAAACCUCAUCCCUUCUCACAUACAAGUUCCAUGCAAUGAUCUGGCUUCUUCUCUCCCUCCCACGAAAAGAGUUUCGUAGAGCCGUAAGGCUGUCUGGGUUCCGGCAGGAACUAGUUCUGGACGGCGAAGCCCUGCCGGAUAGAUGACACCGUAUGUGUGCAACUCUGUAGAGAGAUCGUAGUUUCGGACUUAGUUCAUGAGUGCCUCUCGAAGGGCUGUCCGUGUGACCGUCCGAGUUUUGAAGGUCCUCCCGAAGGGCUUUUCGAGUGACCGUUCGAGUUUCGAAGGCCCUCCCGAAGGGCUGUCUGCGACACCGUCUGGGGGGUUGUUUGACCGCCUCCCGGAGGGCUGUCUGAGGAGCAGAUGAGGGUAUACAUCCUUGCGAUUGGGAGGUUGUAAAUCCUAGCUGCGGGGAUCUGCACCGCCGAUCGUCAUCGACUCUACUUCCCGCUGCACUACGAGUCGGUAAUGAAAAAGAUCAAACCAUGUAUGCAGUCUCCAUAGUGGUCCUGGGCUGGUGCGUAGGUCGGAAAUUCUUGUUUUCUGCCGUGUUCCCCUACACUCUAGAGGGCUGGCUUGUUCAUCCUGCGGCUCUACAUCAUGCUGGAGGGGAUUGAUUGUCUUCGGCAGUAUCUGGAGUGUUAUUAUCUCCUAUGCCGGUAUUACUACUUUUGCUGUGGCGGGACUUAGAGUGGCGCCGCUGACGUCGGUGCUUGGGUUGCUUCUUGGAGGGGUCAUCCUCCGCUGUCUCGUCGCCAUUGCUUUCUUUAGGGGUGUCCACCAUAUAUAUGUCGUAUGAUGAUGUGGCGGUCCAGCGCCCUGUGGGCGGUGGUUCCUGCUCGUCUCCUGCAUCGUCGUCCAUAUUGUCGAUGUCUUCAGAGUCGAAGUCGAUCAUGUCGGUUAAAUCGUCGACAGUGGCUACUAAGUGGGUGGUGGGUGGGCAGCGAAUUUCUUCGUUGUCCGCAUCCCAUUCUAGUCGGACAUAGUUCAGCCAAGGUUCUCCUGAUAGGGAGCGGGACCUCAAUGAAUUUAGCACAUCGCUGAAGGGUGAGCGCUGAAAGAUAUCUGCGGAGGUGAACUCCAUGAUCGGCGCCCAGUCGGAUUCGACGGGCAUGGGUGUAAGCGGCUCGAAGUCUGUGGCCGGAGGUGAAUCCAGUGGUUCGGCGACACGGCUCUCGUAAGGGGUGAAGUCAGUAUCCGACUCCAUCGCCACUGAGAGUGCGGUCUCCAUGGAGGGGUCUAUCCCUCCGCUCUCGGAUGGCACGAUUUGUUCCGGAUUGAUGGCCGGAGUAGUUGCAGAUGCGAUCUCCUGAACACCGUCCGACAGCAGAGUUACGUCGUGCUCGUCGUGACUGUGCAGUGCACCUGACACGGGCUCGAAUCCGUCGAAGAUCAAGUCUCCGCGGACGUUGAUAGUGUAGUUUAAGUUUCCGAAUCUGACCUGAUGGCUAGGGGCGUAGCUCUCGAUCUGCUCUAGAUGGCCAAGCGAAUUGGCCCGCAGUGUGAAGCCGCCGAAUACAAAGAUCUGUCCGGGGAGGAAAACCUCACCCUGGACCGCAUCGCUACCGAUGAUCGAAGGAGCCAUCAAGCCUUAUGGUGACGACAUAGUGGAACUCCCAAUGAAAGCACCGAUGUCGGUGUCAAAACCGGCGGAUCUCGGGUAGGGGGUCCCGAACUGUGCGUCUAAGGCGGAUGGUAACAGGAGGCAGGGGACACGAUGUUUACCCAGGUUUGGGCCCUCUUGAUGGAGGUAAUACCCUAUGUGCUGCUUGAUUGUUCUUGAUGAUAUGAGUACUACAGGAGUUGAUCUACCACGAGAUCGUAGAGGCUAAACCCUAGAAGCUAGCCUAUGGUACGAUUGUAUGUUGUCCUACGGACUAAACCCUCCGGUUUUUAUAGACACCGGAGGGGGCUAGGGUUACACAGAGUCGGUUACAAGGGAGGAGAUCUAUAUAUCCGUAUUGCCUAGCUUGCCUUCCACGCCAAGGAGAGUCCCAUCCGGACACGGGACGAAGUCUUCAAUCUUGUAUCUUCAUAGUACAACAGUCCGGCCAAAGGAUAUAGUCCAGCUGUCCGGAGACCCCCUAAUCGAGGACUCCCUCACAUGUCUUUGAUAAACAAACUGAAAGGUACUUCUUAUUACAUCUCGACAGUCUGAAUGCUUAAGUAUUAAAAUGGUGGAGAAGCUCCGCAUUCCAAGCGCGUGGCUCCUCUUUCUUGUGUUCCACAUCAUACAGGUGAUAUGCUCCGUUGUGGAGCACUUUGGUGAUGAUGAAGGGGCCUUCCCAGGCGGGAGCAAGCUUGUGUGGACGUUGCUGAUCCACUUGGAGAACCAGGUCCCCCUCCUGAAAUGCUCGACCUCUUACGUUCCUAGCAUGGAAUCGACGAAGGUCUUGCUGAUAGAUGGUCGACCUGCUCAGGGCCAUCUCUCUCUCUUCUUCUAAAAGAUCAACGGUGUCUUGACAGGCUUGUUCUGCUUCUGCCUUUGAGAAGAGCUCCACUUGUGGGGCAUUAUGGAGUAGAUCAGUCGGCAGCACGGCCUCGGCUCCAUAAACCAGGAAGAAAGGAGUCCGGCCAGUCGACCGAUUUAGUGUUGUUCUCAGACUCCACAUUACUGAUGGUAACUCAUCUACCCAGGCACCAGCCGCACGCUUGAGGUCUCACAUCAAUCUGGGCUUCAACUCUUGUAAGAUCAAACCAUUUUCUCUUUCUGCUUGCCCGUUCGACUGUGGGUGAGCGACUGAAGCGUAGUCGACCCGGGUGCCCUGGGAAGCGCAGAAAGCUCUGAACUCAUCUGAAUCAAAGUUUGAACCAUUGUCUGUGAUGAUGCUGUGCGGGACUCCAUAUAUGAAUGUUAAUUCUCUGAUGAAGCUGACGACGGUUCUCGAAUCGAGGUUCUUGAUGGGUUUGGCUUCAAUCCAUUUGGUGAACUUGUCGACUGCAACAAGCAGGUGGGUGAAACCACUUCUGCAAUCCUCAAGGGUCCAACCAUAUCCAAUCCCCAAACCGCAAACGGCCAGACGAGUGGAAUGGUAUUCAAUGUGAGGCGGGCUUGUGAGACAUGUUAGAGUAAAACUGGCAGCCCUCACACUUGUCGACUAUUUCCUUCGCCCGUGGCCAGUAAAAAUCUGCUCAGUAUGCUUUGGCCACGAUUGUCUGAGAGGACGCAUGGUGACCACAGGUCCCUGAGUGGAUAUCAUUGAGGAUCAUUCGACCUUCCUCCAGGGUAAUGCACCAUUGAGAAACUAUAGUCACACUCUCCCUGUACAGUCGACCACUUAUCACAGUGAAGGCUUUGGAUCAACGAACAAUCUGUCGUGCUUCAUCUUCGUCUUCUAGAAGCUCUUUCCUGAGAAUAUAUGCGAUGUACGACAUUGUACAAUUAGGAAUGAUAACCAAAACUUCCAUGAUUAAGUCUACCACAGCUAGGAUUUCAACUUCAGUCGGAUCAGUAGAACUCUUAGGUUGCGGGGGCUCUUCUAUAAAGGGAUCCUCUUGAAUUGAUGGUGUGUGAAGAUGCUCCAAGAACACAUUGCUGGGAAUGGGCUCUCCCUUGGAACCUAUCUUUGCCAGGUCAUCCGCUGCCUGAUUCUUCAGUCGGGAAAUGUGGUGGAGCUCUAGCCCUUCAAACUUCUUUUCUAACUUUCUCACUUCAUUACAAUAACCAGUCAUAGCUUGCCUUCUGACAUCCCACUCAUUCAUCACUUAAUUGACCACCAAAUCUGAGUCGCCGUAGACCAUUAGGCCACGGACGCCGAGUGAAAUGGCCAUCCACAACACAUAUAGAAGCGCUUCGUAUUCAGUUUCAUUGUUGGAGGAAUCAAAGUGAAUCUGAAGGACAUAAGUAAGUAUGUCACCUCGCGGGGAUACCAGAACUACUCCAGCGCCAGAACCAUUCAACAUCUUGGAUCCAUCAAAGAACAUAGUCCAAUGUUCCUGGAAUUGAGUUGGUUGCUGUUGUUCAAUCCACUCGAUGAGGAAAUCUGCUAUUACCUGGGACUUGAUUUCUUUCUUUGCCUCAAUCUUGAUAUCCAACGGAAGGAGUUUAAUCGCCCACUUUGCCACUCGACUAGUUGCGUCCCCGUUGUUCAAAAUUUCUGACAAUGGAGCAUCACUGACGACUAUGAUAGAGUGAUUUGAGAAAUAGUGUGCAACCUUCUUUGAAGUCAAGUAAAUUCCAUGGACAAGCUUUUGAUAAUGUGGAUAUCUCUGCUUGGACGGGGUUAAGACUUCCGAAAUAUAGUACACUGGGCGCUAAACCUUAUAGGCUUUACCUCCUUCUUCCCGCUCGACCGUGAGUACUGUACUAACAACUUGUCCACUGGCUGCAAUAUAAAGCAGUAAAGGCUCUUUGUUGAUUGGAGCACCAAGCACCGACUGGGUGGAAAGCAGGGUUUUGAUCUCUGCAAACGCUGCGUCAGCUUCAGGAGUCCACUCGAACUUAUCAGAUUUCUUCAUCAAUGGUAAAGAGGCAAUGCCUUUUCAUCGAGAUAAGAGAUGAAUCGACUCAAGGAGGCCAAACAACCAGUAAGCUUCUGAACGUCGUGUAUGCACAUAGGGCUUUUCAUUUGGAGUAUUGCACCAACUUUCUCUAGGUUUGCAUCGAUCCCAUGUUCGGAAACGAGGAAACCGAGUAACUUUGGCGUACCUCUCUGGGUGCUCUAGGUCCAAGGGUAUCUUCUUCGUCUCUUUGGCCGGCUUAAACGAACCCUCAGCCUCUAACUCUUUUGGGUUGGGCGACACAUCAGGCUGCUUGCCGGCCAUUGCCACAACUCGCUCAAGGAGCCGCUUCUCAGCCGCGAUUACCAGGGACUCGGCCAGCCGACUUCUCUCAGCUGCACAAGCAGACGACUUCCGGUAGUCGCCAGCCACAGUUAGAAUUCCCCUGGAACUGGGAAUCUUCAUCUUGAGGUAGGCGUAGUGGGGGACCUCCAUGAACUUGGCCAAGGCAGGUCAGCCAAACAGCGCAUGGUAUGGGCUCUCGAGAUCCACCACCUCAAACCAAACGGGCUCUCUACGGAAGUGAUCUUUGUCCCCAAAGAGGACGUCCAUCAGGAUCUUGCCGAUUGGCGAGCAGGAAAGCCCAGGAACAAUGCCGUGGAACACAGUUCGGCUGUUCUAAAGUUGUCUUUGCUUGAUUCCUAACUUCUCCAUGGUGUCCUUGUACAGGAUAUUGAUGCUACUGCCCCCGUCUAUCAGAACUCGCGAGAAACGCGCGGCUUGUCUGUCCGUAGCAAAGGUGGCAUCCAAGACCAAGGCAUAAGAGCCUGGACUCGGCAUCACUUUUGGGUGGUCAGCCCUGCUCCAGCUGAUGGGCUUCUCAGACCAGUGCAUGAACUCUGGCGUCUCUGACGCUACUGCAUUCACCUCUUGUCGCUGCAGCCGCCUGCUGCGUCGAUCAUCAGCCACACUAGUGAACACCACAUAGGCUCCAUGCUCUUCAGGGUAUUCGUCUUGUACUGCGCCGACUGGCUUGACAGCCGGCUGCUGGGGCGGAGGCGGCUGCCCAGCAGGCGGGGGAGGCAGGAGGCCGUCUCCCUUGGCGAUCCUGGUGAGCCAGUGGCACUUCCGGGUGGUGUGAUUCGAUGGCUUUGCACCGCUGUGGAACUUGCAAGGUCCAUCCAAGGUCUGCUGAUAGGACAAGGCAGGCAACCAGUUUGGCUUGCUGCCUUUCUUUCGCUUGGGCGGGGGCUGCUCAUCUGGCUGCUGGGCUUCAACGGUCGUGACCUGCCGGCUGCUGGAAGCCGGCUACUGGGCCAUGCGCUUGUUGUCGCCCUGCUGUUGUCGCCGGCCGGCGUCUGCUGCCGGAGUUCUUGGAGCUUGAGGAGCCACUUUGCCAGUUGUGCUGAUUUGAAUUUCCGCCUUCAUGGAGGAGUCGGCCAUGGCGUAUUUGUCCGCUAUGAUCAGCAGCUCGUCGAGGGUUCUGACUCGUCACAAAGGAGCUUGUGCUUGAGGAGGGUGCCUUCUCUGCACCCGGCUGUGAAGUACUCGAUGGCCUGCACCUCGUGCACGCCCUCGCAGGAGUUCUGGAGCUCGGCCCAACGCGUGAGGUAAUCGCGAGUCGACUCGUCGGGGCCUUGCACGUACAAGGAGAGCUGACGAAGCUUGGGAGGACGCUUGUACGUGCUGGUGAAGUUGCGGACGAAUGCUUCGGUGAAGUCGACCCAGCUGUUGAUGUUGCGGGGCUUCAGGCUGUUCAGCCAUGUCCGGGCCGUGCCCUGGAGCAUGAGCGGAACGUACUUUACGGCGACACGCUUGUUGCCAUUUGCUAUGUUGACAGCCGUGGAGUAGUCGACUAGCCAGUCUUCUGGCUUCACGGAGCCGGUAUACUUGGGCGUGUCUCUUGGGAGCAUGAACCCUCUGGGAAAGGGUUCGUCCUGAAUGCGGGGCCCGAAACAAGGCGGACCCAGCUCGUCUUCUUCUUCUAGCGCUAAAGAUCGGUGGAGUCGGUCGAUCCGGUGGCGGGCGUCAUUCUCUCCAGCUCCCUCUCGGCGGCCAAGACGGUCACCGAGAGUCGGAUGGUCAACAGGCGGCGGGGAGACUCGCCUCUCCUUGCGGGGAGGGGGAGGCGGACAGUCGUCCCGUCGUUCCACUGCUCUUGGGCGGCCGUCUCGGUCGCGCUCUAUGGUAAUGCGAGUCCGACCGUGGCUGACAGUCGGCUCCUUGUAUCUUCUACCUCGGGCGCCGCCAGUCGGCGUCCGAGACGUCGCGCCUUGAUCUCGGUGAAGGUCGUCGACGGGCCAUUGAGGCGCCUCCGUGCGGCAGCCGGCCUCGUUCUGCGCGGCAGCCGCAUCGAGAAGCCGCUGGACUCGUUCGUUCAUGAGGCGGCGUUCUUCGCCCUCCAAAUUGUCCAGCUCGUCCACCGCUGCCUGGGCGGCUCGGAUGUUCUCUGCUGGUGUAGCGUACACAGGGCGGCUUGCCCCAAACAGGUUGGCGAUGGCUACGCCGCGCUACCGGACCAUGCCAAGGCGGCUGGGCCCCGCCGGGGCCGGCGAGCCGCCGACGGCGCGAUCCAUCUCCCGCUGGUAGGCUUCUGACAAGCGCCUCAUGUUGGCCAGCUUCUUCGCGCCUACAACGAGCUGAAGGCGGCUCGCCUCCAGCGUCUCUGCGUCAGCGUCUUUCGGAAUGGGCGCAGUUAGGUCUUGCAGCGCCGCGCCGAGCGAGUCGUGCGCUCCUCCACCGGGGAGCUCGUCAUGACUGGUGACUAGCACCUCGGUGACGGUGCUUCCAUUGCUCUCUGCGUGGGGGAGAGGUUCGUCAUAGACCACCACAUUGGUGGGGAACGCAUCGAGCAACGCGGUGUCGGAGUCGACCAUCAUCGGGUCAGUUGAGCCUACGGACUCCAAGUCUAUGGCAGGCUCGCCGGAAACGUGGAGUUGAUCGAGGAGGCCCGCGAGGAGGUUCUCGGGGCCGCUCGUGCCUGCGUUGGAUGUAGGUUCAUCGGAGAGGCAGACCUCGCCGACAAGUUCGGCCAAGGAGCUGACCGCGCAGGCAAUUUCGACGCCGCUUAGCGCGAAGACGCAAACUCUGUCUGGCGUGCCUGGCUGGCUGCGCUCGCCAGGGAGGAAAAGGGUUCCCGGCCAAAGCAGAUCUCCGGACGGCGGUGCACCAGGCCCCACGGUGGGUGCUAAAUGUCGGGGGUUUGGUGCGACAUAUGCCAACGGAUGGCUUAUCAUGGUGGGGGCGAGUAGAACAUCGUUGGUGCCUGGAAACGGGAUGAGGCGAAGACAUGCACGCCGGUGAAUCUUACCCAGCUUUGGGGCUCUCUAGGGAGAUAAUAGCCCUACUGCUGCUCUGCGGGGUCUCUGCAUGAUCACUAUGGCCAAGUGUUUACACGGUUGCUCCUUGAGCUGUUUUCUGGUGGUAGGAGAGGGCAAGGCUAGCUCUCUCCCUUCUAUAUGAUCUGGUCUAGAGAUAAUGGGUUCCAACCCUUUGCAUGGGUGCCCUAGGGGGUUUAUAUAGGCCUACCCCCCAGGGGUACAAUGGUAAUCCAGCUGGACGCGGGCCCAGCCGUCAGUGUCUCUGGCCUCCGUCUUCUCUGCCGACCGCUGGGGCCCGUCGACUGGCGGGCCCCACCGACUGGCCCGGUACGGAGCCGACAGGCCACGUCCGCCGCGGACGGGUCUUGCCGGCUGCUGGUUACUGUAGCCGUGCUUCUGAUGACGCGGGCUUGAUCAUGAGGUCGUGGUAACAGCCCUGCCGCCUGGCGUGCGAUCACUGUUGCCACUCCCCAUCACAUCUUGAUUAAUGGCGCAUGGGCCCCGGGGGAGGGCUCUGCCGACUCCCCCGGGCCGACUCCCGACGGGUCCGACUGGUGGUUCUCCCGCCGUCUCCCGAGGUCUCACUGACUGGUGGGGCCUGCUGCCUCCAGGCCGUACAGACAAGCCGUCGUGGGUGCAGGAUUCGGCCCUGCGGUGCUGAUGUUAGGGCCGGCAUGGCAACAGUGCCACGCCGCAUGGAGAUCUUCCGGGGUACGGCGUGCUGUGGCCAUGCCUGCCCUUGGUGAGGGGCAGGGGUGGGCUUCGCUGUAGCCACGCCCCUGCCUCGUCCCCUCUGAUGAGGUCAUGGGGUUUGUUGGAGUCGCAGGCCGACUCCCCACAGCCAGCUUCUCUGCAAGUCGUCCCUGGGACUCGGCCGUGAGCGGGCAGUCGGCCGCCUUGUCGUCGACUCCCCAGGAGGCGGCUCUUCGUCCUAGGGUCUUGAGGGGCUCAGCCUGCCCCGAUGUCUUGAAAGGUUCUGGGGCUCGGGUUGGCCUACCCGCGGCCCAUUACUCCGACACCCAGGCUUUAGCACGACUUAAAGUUGUUACAGCUCCAGCUCUCGCGUAUGAUCGCUUGAUUUCUUGGAACCGGGCGGGUAAGAUAUACAGCUUCUUCAAGAUGUCACUUAAUAGAGUCGGCCCUUGAUUCACGGGGGAGAUAGUGGCAAGCGUCCGUUGAGCUCCGGUGUAAAACUGUUCAACCAGCGUGUAAACCGCCUUCAGCUUUUCCACGGUAUCCCGGUUCAGAAUGCUGCUCCUGGGACCUGCAAAUAUCAUACAAAUCAGUUAAGUGGCGGCUUAUAAUGGAAUAUAUUUAUUUGAAGUAUGUAACAAAGUGACUUACCGAAGAUUGCAGAAACCAUCUGAGACACACGGUUCUUUAAACCGGUGAGUUCAGCGGUGACUUAUCCUACAGCCGCUUCAGCCUUCUCUGCAUGUUGUGUUAAAACAGUCUUCUCAUUAGCCCAAGCUUAUUUCUCCACUGUGAAGUUGGUCUUAAAAUUUUCGGUCUCAGAAACACUCAGCUAGAAUUUGGACCCAGCCUUCUUUGUCUCUAUCUCUUGAGUCCCUAGUCGGGCCUUGGCCUCAGACAGUUGGGAUUCCAGUUCUAUGGUUGCAGCCUGCAUACAACAUAAUGUUGUUUCAGUUUCAUGGCGGAUUAUAAAAUAUAAGUCCCAAGUGUUUUGUCAACAAUAACACUUAGCACUUGGGGGCUAAUGUCUGUCAGCGCAAUUUUUUUCAAAGGAAACAAUUUUUCUAAAAAGUCCCAAGUGUUUUGCAGGCAACAACACUCGGCACUUGGGGGCUAAUGCACACUGCUUGACUUUUCUUUCUACAAGUGAGCCGGAUAAGCUGUCCACAGUCUCAGCCAGCUCAGGCAGGUUAUACGGUUCAUUUCUAUGCAAUAACUAGUAGGACCGGCUCAUUCAUACUGAUUAAACCGGCCCUUGGAGAAUAGCAGGGUAUAUAACUUAUAUGAGAUGGAGAACAUACCUCAUAUUUUUGAUGCAUCUGUUUAACCAUUUCAAUUUCUGAGUCAUGGCUGGAGUGCACUUGACUGAGAUAACCAGAUAGCACUUCACUAAUACUCAGGUGAGCAUAGUGGGAGACAUCCAACCUCACCUUUUGCCAAUCCAUAACUUCUUGUUUGGCAGAGUGUCUUGCCAAGACAGUUGGGUUCCCCGGUUCAACGAAUCUAGUGCCAGUGAUUAAAACAUCAACAUUGUGCUUCUCCGGCGGGUUAGCUGAGCUUGAUGUCUCAAUACUUGAUGGAUCAAUAGUAGUUUCAUCUGUAGACGGCUCAGGUAAAUCAGGUUGAACGUUGAAGGCAGGGUCCUCUGGCCGUUCAGCGUGUUCAUGCACAAAGGUUGACUGCUCCGGGUCUUCAGGAUGUUCUGGUACGAGGGUUGGCUACUCCGGUUCAGUGGUUCUCGGAUCCUCAGCCGGUUUUGUUACCUUUGCUUUCUUGGGCUUUGCUUGACCGCUAGAAAGGAUUUAGACAAGUCAGUACAAUGAUACAUAUUUAAAGGUGUAUAAGAAGGGUAGUUAUCUUUACCCGGGGGCGGUCUUGAAAGCUGGAAAUUGCGUCUAUGAUGAAUCGUCGGAGGAGGAACGGGAAAUCUCCUAUAAAGAUGGAAUCAAAAAUAAGUGAUGAAGGUAAUUCAUUGAAUAAAUACAAGGGUGAAAGCCAAAAAAGAACCUCAUUCUGGUGUUUCCCAGGAGUUUUUGGUAAGCCGGAGGGUAAAUCGUCAUCUCCACCGGUCUGGGUCUGCCGGCGGCUUUCAUGUUGCUGUCGUUUAAAAAGAAAAUGAGGAUCUAAAUAAGCCAAGGGGUGUCAAAACCUUACUUUCCGGGUUACCCGCCGAAGUUUCUGCCUUGGUAAAGGUUCUGAGUUGGAGGAAAUAAUAUUUACCUCUUCUUCAACUGCCUGGCUGGCCCCCGUAUCAUCCUGGUAAUAGUCAAUGUCAAUAAGGUGGUUAAAAAGCAGGCCAAGAGAGAAAGGGCUACCUCUGACUCAGAGGUGUCAUCCAGCUUGAGUAACUCAGAGGCGGUUGGCUUCUUCUUCUUCUUCUUUGAUUUUCUGACGAUUUUCUUGGCGGCUAUCGCAGCAGCUCUAGCUUUCUUGGCAGCCUCAUGGUCAUACUUGACUUUCCAAAAGUCAGGUUUAGCCUGUGGAAGGGUAGCAUGUUGAAAUUCAUGCAAAUAUUUAAACUCUGGGUUCCAAGGUCAUCAAGGUCAUCAAGGCAGACAAAGCAAUCAGGGUAGCUACCAUCAACAGUCAGGUCAAGGGAGUCAGUAGCAGCAAUCCGGGUAUCAGAGUAACCCGAAACAUUUGAAUAGUGGACAGUAUCACGUCUUCACCACAAGUUUGUGCAAACGGGAUCAGGAGUUUCAUAAAAGGGCAGUAAACUCUGUUGAACCGACAGUACCCUGUUACUUGCGCUGGUCUGAGCAGGCUAUUGUGUGGAGUCGAGAGGAUCAUCCACCCAAGGUUAAUAAUCUGGGUCAUUUAGCAUUGGUGGUCGCACCUCAUGUUGGAGGGUAUAAGUUCACCAAAGUGCUCAUGGACGGAGGGAGCAGCAUCAAUAUCCUUUAUUAUGAGACCUUCCGUUGCAUGGGGUUGACCGAUAAAAAUCUUAAGCCGUCAAACACUGUCUUCCAUGGUGUGGUGCCUGGUAAAUCGGCAUAUCCGGUUGGUAAGAUAGCUCUGGAAGUUGCCUUUGAAGAUGAUCAUGAAUCUAGAUCAGAGACAUUAACCUUUGAGGUGGUGAAAAUCAAGAGCCCUUAUCAUGCCCUGUCCGGACGGCCGACUUAUGCUAAGUUCAUGGCAAGGCCCUGUUAUGUUUAUCUGUAGCUCAAGAUGCCGGUUCAUAAGGGGACCAUCACAGUGCAUGGGAGCCGGAAUAUAGCCUAGGAGUGUGAAGAGGGUGAUGCGGUGUAUGCUGAGUCGGUUUGCGCAACAGAGGAGUUAAAGUUUUAAAAGGAUAAUAUUGACCUGGCAGAUAUGAAUUUGAAAAAACCAACCACAGAGCAUGAUCUGGUUUUAAAAUUUAAGUCGGUAGAUGACACUAAGAUGGUUGACUUUGUCCCUGGUGACUCAUCUAAGCAGUUCAUCAUUAGUGCUAAUCUGGAUCCGAAAUAGGAAAGCGCGCUCAUCGAGUUCAUCCGUGAGAACCGGGACAUCUUUGCAUGGAAGUCCUCAGACAUGCCGGGUGUACCAAGAGAACUCGCUGAGCACACUCUUAAUAUUGAUCCAAAGUUUAAACCGGUCAAGCAGUUUCUUCGCCGUUUUAAUGAGGAGAGACGGACGACCAUUGGAUAAGAGGUAGCCCGGCUCUUGGCAGUUGGGUUUAUCAUUGAAGUUUUUCAUCCUAAGUGGUUGGCUAACCCGGUGCUGGUACUUAAGAAGAAUGGCACUUGGCGUAUGUGUGUGGAUUACACAGACUUAAACAAGGCUUCUCCGGCUGAUCCUUUUGCUCUCCCUCAUAUUGACCAGAUUAUUGAUGCUACGGCGGGUUGUGAGCAUUUGAGUUUUUUAGAUGCUUAUUCUGGUUAUCAUCAGAUCAAAAUGGCAGUUAAGAACCAGGAGAAGACAUCCUUCAUAACUCCCUUUGGAGCCUUCUGCUAUGUGUUUAUGCCUUUUGGGCUCAAGAGUGCCCAAGCGACUUAUCAGAGGUUAGUGCAUAAUUGCCUUCAUAACCAAAUUGGGUGUAAUGUUCAUGCCUAUGUGGAUGAUAUUGUGGUGAAAUCCAGAGAGAAAGAGACACUGAUAAGUGAUUUGAAGGAAACCUUUGAUAAUCUCCGGAUCUACAAGAUAAUGCUUAACCCGACCAAGUGUGUGUUUGGUGUGCCGGCAGGCAAGCUCCUGGGUUUUUUGGUGUCUAAUAGAGGGAUUGAAGCUAAUCCGGAGAAGAUCAAAGCUAUCACCUCUCUGGCUAAACCGGCGUGUAUCAAUGAUGUGCAGCGCCUGGCGGGUCGUAUCGCGGUGUUAAACCGUUUCAUAAGCUAGUUGGGGGAGAAGGCUAUCCCUCUGUAUCAGAUAAUGAAAAAGACAAAUAACUUUGUCUGGAGUGAUGCUGGUGAUGCAGCGUUUGAGGAUUUGAAGAAGCAACUAAUUGUACCGCCAGUGCUCACAUCCCCUAUUGAUAAGGAGCCUUUACUGUUAUAUGUGGCUGCUAAUAGCCGGUCUGUCACUGUUGCCAUUGUGGUGGAAAGGAAGGAAGCAGGAAAGGAGUAUCCGGUUCAAAGGCCGGUUUACUAUAUCAUCGAAGUGCUCAUUGUGUCCAAGCAGAGGUAUCCACACUGGCAGAAACUUGUAUAUGGGGUGUUUUUGGCCAGCUGGAAGCUUAAACAUUAUUUUCUGGGCCAUCCUAUCACUGUGGUAAGCUCUGCUCCUUUGGGAGUUAUCAUCCAAAACAGAGAAGUAACUAGUCGGGUCGCUAAGUGGGCCAUUGAGCUUGGACCUCAUGGAUUAAAGUAUGUGCCUCACAUGGCCAUCAAGUCUCAAGCACUGGUGGACUUCAUCAACAAUUGGACAGAGCUACAGAUGCCUGAGGAAAAGCUGGAUAACACAUAUUGGACUAUUCAUUUGGAUGGGUCCAGGUAGUUGGAAGGCUCGGGGGAUGGAGCUAUUCUCGCUCCCCCUUGAGGUGGUAAAUUUUGCUAUGUUCUUCGUUUGAUGUUUCCUUGUACUAACAACACAUCUAAGUAUGAGGCCUUACUCCACGGUCUUCGGAUGGCUAAGGAAAUGAAUUUAAGCCGGGUUAGGUGCUUUGGCGACUCAGAUUUGGUGGCUCAACAAGUCCCUGGUACUUGGGAUUCUAAGGACCCACUUAUGGCGGCUUAUCGGCGAGAGGUGGACGUCAUUGCUGGUCACUUCAAAGGAUAUCAAGUUGAGCAUGUUGAUCGAAGGAAAAAUGAAGCAGUAGACGCUUUAAGUCGGCUGGUCUCUCAACGUAAGCCGGUGCCACCUAAUGUCUUUCUUGACGUCUUGCAUAACCCGUUAGUUAAGGUUCCUAUAGAGGAGGAUUUGGCUAUUCCUGACCCGGAGGCUUAGUUGGUGGUGGCUCUUCAUGUAAUCCUAGAUUGGAAAGUCCCUUAUUUGGCCUAUAUGACCCGGGGUGAGUUACCUGAGGAUGGGACCUUAGCCAGGAAGAUAACCCGGCGGUCUAAGUCAAUGUCGAUUGUUAAUGGAGAGUUACAUCAUCGCAGUGUCACAGGGGCGUUUCAACAUUGUGUGUCUCCGGAAGAAGGUUGUGAGAUCUUAUGAGAAGUUCAUGAAGGAGAUUGUGGUCAUCAUGCCGGUUCAAAGUCCCUUGUGGCUAAAGCUUUCCGUAGUGGGUUUUAUUGGCUAACAGCUUAUGCUGAUGCAGAGGACUUCAUCCGUAGGUGUGAUGGAUGUCAGAAAUUUGCACGACGUACCCAUGUGCCGGCUCAAGAGUUGAGGAUGAUUCCUAUUACUUGGCCAUUUGCAGUUUGGGGGCUCGAUAUGGUUGGGCCUUUCAGAAGAUCCAAGGAUAAGAAGACUCACCUUUUGGUGGCGGUUGAUAAGUUCACUAAGUGGGUAGAGGCAGAGACGGUCAGUAAGUGUGAUGCAGCAACGGCGGUUCAGUUCAUGAAGAAGGCGAUCUUUUGUUUUGGCUUUCCACACAACAUUAUAACAGACAAUGGCACUAAUCUUUCUAAGGGUGCCAUGGAAGAAUUCUGUCAACUUGAGCAUAUCCGGCUUGAUGUGUCAUCAGUGGCUCACCCCCAAUCCAAUGGUCAAGCUGAAAGGGCAAACCAAGAGGUCUUGAAGGGUAUUAAACCCCGGCUUAUGGUUCCCCUAUAGAGGACGCCGGGUUGUUGGGUGGAAUAGUUGCCUUCGGUGCUAUGGAGCAUCAACACCACCCCAAAUAGAUACACAUGAUAUACACCUUUCUUCAUGGUUUACGGAGCAGAGGCAGUUCUCCCUAGUGACAUCUGUCAUGACUCGCCUCGGGUGGCGGCUUAUGUGGAAGCAGAUAAUGAAAGAGCACGUCAAGAGGCACUUGAUCUAUUGGAUGAAGAGCAGGACAUAGCAGCAACUCGUUCGGUGAUUUACCAGCAAGAUCUGCGCCAUUAUCACAGCCGUCGGGUUAAAACAGAACUUUUCAAGAAGGCGACCUGGUGCUCCGGCUUAUCCAGGAUCAGACUGAUAAUGCACAAGUUAUCCCAACCUUGGUAAGGACCCUUUGUGGUCAGCAAGAAUCUAAACAAUGGGUCAUAUUACCUUAUCGAUGUUCGAGACCACAAGGACUCACACACGUCGGAGGAGGAGACCCGCCGGCCCUGGAAUAUUUCUCAGCUUAGGCCAUACUACACUUGAGCCACAGGCUCUCCUUAUGUACAUAUUUAGACAAUGUAUAUAUUAUGAUUGAUAUAAUAAACCGGCAUCCCUGCUAAAGCAGGGCCUCUGUCACAUAUAAACACUAUUCUGAUCAUGGGAUCAGAAUAAUAUUCUGAUCACAACAUGAACUUCCCGAGUUACGCACCUGACCUUCCCCGAGUACUAGGUUGAACUUCAGCUAAAAGGUGUGCAAAUGGGGCUUGCGAUAUACCGUUGGAAAGCUAUGGACAUCAGUAUCAUGACCCAAGUUAAAUUUUUGGCAAAAUGUAAGCGGUUUAAGAGCAGUUUUGAAAACCAUUUUUUCUUCAUACAAAAAAUGUGAAUCGUAUUUUCGAUCGCAUUUUUAAACCGUUUAUCUAAAUGAGGCAAGUAAUAUGGCAUUGGAAAGUUGCUGAAACCGCUCCUUCCACAUGUUGAAAGUUUUCUCUAAUUCUCUACAGUUAAAGAGUAAUUCGGAAAAUCGUAGAAUUUCGCAAAUGGAACACCCGAGUUUGUAUUUUCGAUGCCAUUUCUAAACGGCUAAUCCAAUUGAGGCAAAUAAUAUGGUGUUGGAAAGCUUAUGAAAAUGCGCUACUUUUUCAUGUGAAAAGUUUUUUCUAAUUUUGAACGGUUUAAAAGUAAUUUAGAAAAUGGUACAACUUCCAUUCGUAUUUUCGAGCUAAUUUUUUAACCGUACGUCCAAAUGCAGCAAAUAAUAUGGCGUUGGAAAGCUUGAAGAAAUGGAAACUUUUUUGUAUAUAUUGUUUCUCCUAAUUCAUUACGGUUUUAUGUUAGUUUUGAAAAUGGCUAAAAACGUAUUUUUGCCGUAAUUUCUACAAACUUUAUCGGAAUGGGGCAAAUAAUAUACCGCUGACGGAAAAUUCAAAACUUUUUCAUGUUGAUGGUUUUCUGUGAUUCCUUGCCAUUCUCAAGUAAUUUCGAAAAUGGCGAGAUCAUUCGUUCUGCCUUUAUCGCGAAACAGAUUCUUUGAAAAUGCACCGUGUGAAGAACCUGAACUUCUCGGCAUGUCUACUUGAACUUCACUCUGUUUUUCACGUGCUUUUUUGCCCGUUUCUCUCCAUCCACUGCUCGUAGCUCUCCAUCCACUCACCAAAAUUGAGCAAGUGAUAUACCGAUGGAAAGCUGCUGUAAACACGCAACUUUCCCGAGUUGAUCGUUUUUUCAUACUCGUGAUAAUUUUAAAAGUUUUUCAUCUCAAAUUCAUUCACUAUAGUAGUCGAACUUCGUGCUGUUUUCACGUUGAACUUCUGUGACGUAUUUUCGUUUUUAAUUUUCCCAUCCAUUUCAUUAGUGUUACACAAAUGAUAUUCUCUUUGUACAAACCCCUCUCACAUAGCAAAUAUUGGCAGAGCAGCAACUAUGGAUUUGAGAUGAACAAGUCUCCCAGAGUAUGACAUUAAGGAAGCAAUGCCAGAUAGUCUGUGGUCAAGUCUUGAUACCAUGGGCAUCAAAUCUGCUACUUUAGGUCUUGUAGAUCCCGUUGGUAGACCAAGAUAUGUGAAAGGCAUGGCUUCUUUUUUACAGUUGAAGGUAUUUGCCAGUUCUUGAGCUUUAUCAUCAGUCAUAUUGAUUGGAACCAUAGAAGAUUUACUAUAGUUUACAACAAGCCCAGUGAACUGGCAAAUAAUCUUUCGUUUUUAAGAUUGACUUUGUUAAGGCUUUUGAUAAAGUGAACUACAAGGCUAUCUUAUUCAUGAUGAAACAUCUGGGAUUUAGCAACAAAUGGAUUAGAUGGGUCUCAUCUAUCCUAUCUACUGAUUCUACAUCUGUCAUCCUUAAUAGUGUUCCAGGUAAAUGCAUACAAUGUAAGUGUGGUGUCAGACAAGGAGAUCCUUUUCCCCCUCUUCUAUAUGUUAUGGUUGGAGAAUUGUUGCAAAUCAUGGUUAAUGAUGCUUGGAGAAAUGGAACAUUAUCUUUACCAAUUGAGACUAAUUUUACUGAAUGCUACCCCAUCAUACAAUAUGCUGAUGACACACUGGUCAUCCUGCUAGCCGAUGAGUUACAAAUUAGAAGUUUCAUUGAGAAACUUGAAAAUUUCUCAAAAUUCACUGGGCUUGUUGUAAACUAUAGUAAAUCUUCUAUGGUUCCAAUCAAUAUGACUGAUGAUAAAGCUCAAGAACUGGAAAAUACCUUCAACUAUAAAAAAGAAGCCAUGCCUUUCACAUAUCUUGGUCUACCAAUGGGAUCUACAAGACCUAAAGUAGCAGAUUUGAUGCCCAUGGUAUCAAGACUUGACCACAGACUAUCUGGCAUUGCUUCCUUAAUGUCAUACUCUGGGAGACUUGUUCAUCUCAAAUCCAUAGUUACUGCUCUGCCAAUAUUUGCUAUGUGUUGUAUCAGAGUACCAUUCUCCAUACUGGACCACUUUGAAAAGUCUGGUAGUAAUUUUCUUUGGUAUGGUAAGGAUAUCAACAAAAAAGAAAAUUGUCUUGUCAAAUGGGAUAAUGUUUGCUUGCCAAAAAAGCAGGGGGCCUAGGUGUGUUAAACCUGAGAGCACAAAACAAAACUCUGCUUAUUAAAUUUCUUUACAAAUUCUUCAACAAGCAUGAUAUUCCCUGGGUUAACCUGAUAUGGAACAAUUACUAUGACAAUGAUGAGGUACCUAGUUUCCCUACCAUGGUGGGAUCCUUUUGGUGGAGAGAUUGUUGCUCUAAUUUGCAAGACUUCAAAAAUAUGACUAUAUGCUAUGCUGGGACUGGUGAUACAAUUAAGCUAUGGUUAGAUAAAUGGUGUUCUCAUACAAUAUCACAGUCAAUGCCUCAACUAUUUUCUUAUGCAAAGAAGGCUGACACAACUCUUGCAUCCGUCAACAACAUGGAGGAUAGUGAAUUUUAUAAAUUAUUCCACUUGCCUAUGUCUUCUAUUGCAGUACAGCAGGGUAUCAAUCUUAGAGAGUUAAUCCACAACAGAGAGAACAUCAGCUAUCAGAUUCUUGGAAAUUCUAUUGGGGUGACACAAAGUACUCUAAUAAUACAAUAUACCUUGAACUAAUGGGAAAUCCUGUUAACGCUCCUAAACCCUAUCAAUGGAUAUGGAAAUCAUGCUCACUUCCCAAGCAUAAUUUCUUCUUCUGGCUACUGUUACAAGACAGAUUAAACACUAGAGACCUACUCCACAGGAAGAAUUUCUACAUUGAGACUAGUAAGUGUGAAUUAUGUGAUGAUGAACCUAAUGAACACCUAAUGCAUCUCUUUUUUAGCUGUGAUUUCAGUCAAAUCUUCUGGAUGAACAUUGGUUACCAAUGGAACAUUGAUCAUAACCUUAUAGAAUUGCUCUUGGAGGGAAGGAAGCAAGAUACCCAUGGCUGCUUUAAAGAAUGUUUGAUUGCUGGAUGCUGGAGUCUAUGGAAACACAGAAAUAGCAUUAUUUUUUAUCACAAGGUCAAGAAUAUGACAUAUUGCAUUGCCACUUUCAAGGAGCACUUCAGCAUGAUUAUAAACAAGGCAAAACCUGGAUUGAAGGAGGGCAUGCAAAGCUGGCUAGAUCACUUGUAGACUAUUAUUAUCUUGUACUACAUCCAUCAUGUAAAUCCAUAUGUAUAUGUUUCCCUCUUAUAAAUGAAAAUGAGAAUCACAGUGGGGGUCUUCCCCACUGUUUUUGUCAAAAAAACCACUCUCACAAUACAUUUUUUAACUUUCUCCGACCGAGGACUUGAAUUUACACAAAUGAUAUUCCUGUUGUUUUGAAGUAAAUUAGAGAAAUGACGAGAUCAUGAUUUAUGCCUUCAUUGCGAAUGGAAACGCACUGCAUGAAGUAGUUGAACUUCUCGGGCAUGUCUAUUUGAACUUCACUCUGUUUCACUUUAUUGUAUUGUUCUUAUAUGAAAUACACAUCAUGUAGUACAUGAACUUCCGGUUGUUAUCACUUUGAACUUCUCGCUGGUAUGAGAGAAUUAUUUUAAAACACAAAAAACAACAUAUUUUUUUAUGUAUUUUGGACAUCUAAAUACACGGUGAACCUCUCUCGCAAGUUUUUUUGAACUUUUACUCGUCGAGCACUUGAACUUCUAGCAACCUUUUUUCCGUUUAUGAGUUGUUUUUAAAAGUGCAAAAAAUGGCAUUGUGUUUUUUAUUUUUUGAACAGGUAAAUCCUAGGUUUUAAUAAACUCUGAACUUCUUUGUUAUUUCAAUAUGAACUUCACCUUUUUAUAUUUUGAGUAAAGAAUUGUAUUCGAUUUUUAUACCGGAAAAAUCAGACAUGGAAAUAUAAGGUGAACCUCUCUCACAAGAAUUUUUGAACUUCUCCGGACAGAACACUUGAACUUCUUUCAACAAACCUUUUAAGCUUUUAUUUUUCUAUACUUUUAUUCUCACCGGAAAUGCAUUCCUUGCAGUAAUUGAACUUCUCGUUGUUUCACUAUGAACUUCUGCCACAUUUUUGUGUAUACGUCGAAUUACACGCAAUUGAAGGUUGGACGUCAUUUUUUGCCAUUUUUUAAAACAUGUAAUUGGAGGUCAAACGUCCUGUUAUGAACCAUGCACGGAGGUGCAUGUGAACUUCUUGCAACAAAUCUGAGUUUUUUUAUAUACUUCGAACUUCUCUGCUAUUUUAAUUUCAACCUCUUAGUCAUAUUCUUAGAAAGGAAAUAUGUUUUUAGAUAAGCAUCAAACAUUCUUUUUAAAAAUUGAACUUCAUUGUUUUAUUUUUCAUAGAAACGGUAAUAAUUUGAGUUUCCCAUAUACAUCGAAUUACUCCACUUUUUAAACGGCAAAAUCUUAGUUUAGUCCCAUUAUUUAAAUUUCAACUUCUAGAGUUUUUUAGAAACGCUGAUAAUCUCGUUUUUUAUGAUUUUUUGAACUGCUCUAUGUUUAAAAUUCAAACUUCUUAUUUUUAUUACAAGCGGUGAAAUAUCCGUUUCAAAUUGCUCUCUUAUUUUUGUACUAUUGUGUUAUUUUUGUGUGAACUUCUUAUGUUCUUCCCGUCAACAGAUUCAAAUUUUCCAUUUUUUAUACAUUGAAAUAUUGCUUUAUUUUAUUUUGAACUUCUUGAUUCCAUUCUUUAAUAACGAGGAAAAUCAUAGGUUCUAUAAUUAUCAAACUUCUCCAUAGUUUUAAUUUGGACUUCUUGGUUUUAUUUCUUGUAGUAGAAAAAAUUCUAGUCUUGUAAUAAACAUCAAACCACUUUAAUAACGGAACAUUUCGUAGGAUUUUUGCAAAGAGUAAAAUCUGAGUUUUUAUAAACAUCAUACAACUCCAUUUUUUUAAAUUUGGACUUCUUUGUUUUAGAGAAUAAGUAAAGUUUGAACUACUCAUUUUAUUAAAGUUGAACUUCUGAGUUUUGUUUUUUGUUAUGAUUGGGGAAAAUAAAAACUAAACAUUUUUUCGCACACAUCUAACCAUUGUUGUAUUUGAUAAUUCUUUUACAUGAGACCAUCCGAAUUUAUUCAUGUACAAACUUUAUUUUUGCAUUUCGUAUUUUGACCUUUUUGCAAAUAUCUUAUAUGAACAUUCUUUGGGCAUCUUUAAUGCACUUAUGGACGUGCACUUUUCAAGAACUAUUCAUUUUGGACUCUCACGCAUGAUGAAAUAUAAAUACAAUGAUGUGGGUGUUUUUAUUUAAUUUCAGUGCUUUGAACUAUCUUUUUCUUUUAGGUAAAAUAAGAAACAACAAUUUAACGUGGCUCACAGUUGCUUUUUUUACUUUGUAUAUCUUGGAUGUAUUUCUAGAACAAAAAUCAUAGUUGCUUUAACUUUUAAUAAUAUUACUUCGCCUUUUUCUUGAUGGGAGACGUACUUAGAUACAUUUUGUUUUGAACAAACAAUUCAUGAACUAUCUCAAACUUGACCUUCUCGAACACAAUUUCUUGGCCUUAGGAAAAUAAAUAAAAAAUAGAAAAAUACAUGGUUGUACAAGCAUAAAAAAUAGAUUGAUUUCUUUGUAUUCUCUUUUAUAUGCCUAUAGAAAUACUCAUCAUCCCCUAGGGGCGAUGCACAUGUUUCUGAGAUCGCAGAAACGCCGAAAAAUAAAAACUGGUCGCUCCAUCUAACCCCUCCGAGCGGCCCACCCUCCCUCCCGCACCACCUCUCCCCCGAUCCUCCCGACCACCUCCGUAACGAUGACAUAACAAGGAUGGAAAAUGAUAUAUCUAUAGGAAGACCAUCUGCAGAAAAGCCACAUCAUAAUCUUUAACCAUGGACAACAAGUUCAAACACAAAACCAAGGACUAUAGUAGCUAAACUCUCGCAGAAAUCUCUCUCUAGCAUUCUAGUUGAACUUGAACAGUAGCGCACCAACAUUAGCUAGAGGGCGAGGUAGGACACAACAAUAGCAGCUAGCAGCGACCACCAAAUGGAGGCUGGGUCAUGACGGUGGCACUGAGAUGGAGAAGGUGCAGGGCAUGGCAGGCAAAAAUAACUGUGAUUGAAAAGUCUUAAUCAGGUAGGUAGGCGUUACAAGAAAAAAAUAGCAAGUACAUCAAGUUUUAGUGCCUCUUUCACACAUAGAUUUCCAACAAAAUUGGCAUUCCUUCUUAUAUAGAUGAACUUGAACCCCUGGAAACUUGUGAGAUAUGAAUGCAUCUCUCGAAAGCCAUCAACCGCCUCAUAAAAAGACUUGGAAUCCUUUGACAUCAUGCAUCAAACUUGGCCUUCAGUCUCAAUAAUAUUAUUUCGUAAUCCUUUUUCAAUCACGAUCAACAUGGUUGUCCCUGCGAGCCAACUAUCAGCUUUACGAUUAUGAAAAUACUAGAUUUUGGCAAAUGUGUACGAGCUACUGAAGAAAUUGAAGAUAGUUGCAAACAAUAUACGAGCUACAACCUAACAAUUUGCAAGCGCUUGAGUGAAGGCAACACCUUUGUUCUUCUUGAACUUCUCAUUUUUCUUAUUCUGAACUAGAUGUUAUUUUUUUGCAACUGCCAGUGCCGGGAGGCCGGCUUCGCUCCGUCAGGUAGCCGUGUCCACCUCCUCACAGGAUAGCGAGCAGGGGAGGAAGGAGAGAUAGACCUGGCAGCAAGCGGGGGAGGAGCCAGAGUAGCACUACAUCGGGGAUGCAGGGUGAACCUGAACCUGAAGUACAUAACACACAUGAAAAACACUCUUAAGUAAUCCAAGCCAUAUCAAUUAGCAAGCAAGGACUAAGCUAGAAAGGAAAACGAACACACAAAACUAGUACUGGUGCACUAAGACAUUUUAGCCAACAUUUUGCGUGCACACACAAAAACUAGAGAAGUGGAGAGUGAAGAAGCAGAGAGGAGGCACAAUGGGUAGGGAACCUGCAGUGCUGCAUCCGCAUUCAGGGAUGGGUCGGGGACGAAGGAGCUUGCUGGAGCAGCACCCACCACCCCAUGCACGCAAAAUUGGAGCUGGUUGAGAUGAUAUGCGUCCUGGAAGAGUCGCCCUGCUGUUGUGGCAUGACUUGGACUGCAGCGACCCACACAAUUUUUGUUGAUGCAUACACAAUGGAGGAGAUGAGCUUCGAUUAGCGUCAAUUAGCGCGCACACAUCUGGCGAGCACAGCGGCCCCGAUCCCGGGAGUGGUGGCCCGACGGCGAUGAACAGCCAGUGCUUUGCAGGGCGGGUCCCGGCUGCGGCGCACUAUGGGGUUCGUGCGGGAGGAUGCAAGGCCGGCCCCCUCCUCACAAGGCAGCGCCCUGCCGGGAGCCAUAGCUGUGGCGCACUACAACUGGAGUCAUUGGACUGCAAUGGUGGGGUUGAGCUGGAGGAUGCAAUGGCGGCGGCGACAUGCACAUCAGUGCCGAGCAAAAUAAUGUGCCCAUUUUCGUUUUCCUGCAUUAGAAAAUGUUUUGCAAGAGAUUCCAGAUGCUACAACUAGUUCUCAUUAAAUUGGAGGAUAAAAAAUCAAAUUCCCAAUACAAAUACAUUUUUAAUCUGGAACUAACAGAGGUUACAACAGAGAACAAUCCCUGGUUUCUCAAAUUGGAAUUCAUGCCCUUUUUAUGUCAUCGUUACAAACUAGACUUCUCUUUUUUUCUAAUAAGAACACACACUAUAAAGGAAAAAUAGAAAUUUCUUUUGCCAUCCUUGGUGGAGCACAUAACGGCAGGUGCAACAAGUUCAGAGUGUGCAAGUAGAAAGGAAGAGGUUCAGAGAAAAAGACUGACACUUGGUCAUGCUGCGGAGGCGUCCUGUAGUCCAUACUUGUCUGGAGCAGCAGUGAUGAGGACGCAACUAGAGAAGGCCAACGGAAAUUUUGCAAAUAACACUCCUCGCCACAUCACAUAAUUUGAUCUCCUCCAGUACCUGCUACUACUACUCCUCCUUGUUGGAUUUGGGCACGGCCAACCUGACGACCAACAACAACAGUAGCACAGGUGGGUCUAAUUUUCCAUUAACAACCACUGUCGUACGCUGACCAUUGGAGGACAAGUCAUGGCUGUGCACGAGAGAUGCAGAGGGACCAAGGGGAGCGUGGAGUGGAUGAGGUAGGAGGGGCUGAGAACAGCAUCAUCGACAGCGGGGCUGACUAAG
rnacentral:lncRNA from 1 species